rnacentral:lncRNA from 1 species
GAGAAGAUGAUCGAGUGGUUCAAUUGAAGAGAAUUCAUGGGGCAAGUGGAAACCCUAAUUUAUCAAUUAAAAUGUCAAAUAGUGGGCCAAGCAGGUCGAGAAGUCAAACUGGGUCAAAGGCCUCAGAUCGGGUCGCUACAUCACGAACGAUUACGAUUAACCCUAGCCGAAAUUCGUCGUACUCGUCCACGGCGAUUACUUCAUCGCAGGAAUCGGGCGCGAAGAGUACGUUGUCUGACCAUACCGCCGAAUGACUGACAACGAAGUGCGGAUUAAGAAGGAAAAAGGUUUGUGUUUUAGAUGUGACGAGAAGUUUAGUCUAGGGCACCGCUGCAAAAGACGUGAAUUGAACAUCAUUGCUGUACAAGAAGGGGAAGACUUAAGUGACAAAACCGAUCAAGUGGGGGAAGAAAUCGAAACCAACGGGAAUGAGGAAGUCAAUACAGAAAUAGUGAAUCUGUAAAUAAAUUCAUUGGUAGGUUUCAAUUCGCCGAAAACCAUAAAAAUUAAAGGAGAAAUAAGGGGACGUGAGGUUGUGGUGCUGAUCGAUGGGGGAGCCACGCACAAUUUUAUUGCAGAAGAGGUAGUCAAAGAGCUAAAAAUUUCAGUAGAAACCAUGGAUGCAUAUAUGGGGUUGUUCUGGGAACCGGAGGCGUAGUCCAAGCAACCAGUGUGUGUAAGGAUGUAAACCUGACAAUCGCCAAUUUAUCAAUCACUCACGAUUUUCUCCCUCUACCACUCGGAGUGCCGACGUUAUAUUAGGAGUUACUUGGUUGGAAAUGUUAGGGAAAGUAAUUUUUUAUUACAAGUUGUCGGAGAUGGAAUUUGUGAGAGCCCCAAUCAUACAUACGUAUGUUAGGAAGGGUAAGAAGGGAAACUCACCAACAUGUAAGGAGAGAGAAUGAGUGGGAAAUAAAAGAAUGUGCAGGUGGGUCCCACUGGGUAGGAAUUUGAGGGUGAGUAUAAAUAGAAUGAUUGAGAAAUAGGGAUAGGUAUCUUUUUGGUUAUCUUUUAAGAAAGGGAGGCGGCAGCAGCCGAUAGGAGAGGGGUAUCCUUCUUGUGAAGGGUGCUGGUAUGUUCUUGUUUUCAUUCCUUAUUGUAGCUGUAACUUUGGGCUAUAUAUAUAAAUAAAGGAUCACAGGGUGCUGUCUCUGUUUAGCCAUAGUUGGGUAUUUUAUUAGAAAGGGUGUAGAAUCCUAACAUUUGGUAUCAGAGCCCGACAAAAAGAAAAAACUGGGGGUGGUUACGCGUCGCAUGGCACAAAGACAAAUGGAGGAACGAAUGGAAGGAACCGAGAAGGAGCUGCUGAGCAUGAAAGAAAUGCUACUGGAAAUGAAGAAAUCUAUGGAAAGACUGACAGAGGAACUAAGAGAGAAUCAUAGCUAUAAGAAAAGAGAUGAAUCCGGAACAUCUGAUGGAUCCAGCAUGAAGCUGAAAGGAAAAGUAGAAGAAUCAGAAGUCUCUAAUGAGGAAAAUGGAAGCAAUGUGGAUCGAAGUAAGUACGCAAAGUUAGAAAUGCCUAUGUUCUUAGGUGAAAAUCCAGAAUCCUGGGUAUAUAGAGCAGAACAUUUCUUUGAGAUGAACAACCUGCCAGAAAACGAGAAGAUCAGAGUGGCGGUGGUCAGUUUUGGGCAAGAGGAAGUGGACUGGUACAGGUGGACGCAUAAUAGGAAGAAAGUAGAGUCAUGGGAAGAUUUGAAAGGGAGGAUGUUUGAUUUCUUCAAGGACUCAGGACAAACAAGUCUAGUGGCACGCUUGAUUAGGAUUCAACAAGAUGGAUCCUACAGUGAGUAUGUGAAGAAAUUUGUCACAUAUUCAGCUCCCCUCCCUCACAUGGAGGAAAGUGUGUUACGCGAUGCUUUUCUGACCGGUCUGGAACCCAAUCUUCAGGCAGAAGUCGUUAGUCGUUACCUCGAACAUUGGAAGAUUGUAUGAGGGAGGCUCAACUAGUCAAUGAUCGGAAUGUAGCAAUGAAAUUGACUAAGACCGAGGGCAGGACAGUGGAACCAAAGAAAAAAGAAGAGUAUGCAGGAAAAAUCCAAGAUGGAACAGACAAAGGCUACAUGAGGAGGACAGAUUUCCCCAUAAAACAAGUAACUAUACCUAUUAAGGGUAGUUAUCAAAAAAGUGAACCUCCUAUCAAACGACUUUCAGACGCAGAAUUCAGGUCCAGAUUGGAUAAGGGCCUAUGUUUUAAAUGUAAUGAGAAAUAUACACCAGGGCACAGAUGUAGAGUGAAGGAAAAAAGGGAGCUGAUGUUAUUUAUCAUGAAUGAAGAGGAGAGCAAGGAAGAGGAAGGCAAGAUGGAAGGGGAACCAGGGGAAACAGUGGAAUUAAACCAUCUGGAUUUUGCUGAAGGGGAGGAAAUAGAAUUGAAGACAAUCCAUGGGAUGGCAUCGAAGGGAACGAUGAAGCUGAAGGGAAAUAUAAAGGGCAAAGGAGUGAUAGUGCUGAUUGAUAGUGGAGCAACCCAUAAUUUUAUACAUAACCGGACAGUAAAGGAAAAGAACUUAUAUUUGGAAAAAGGUAACCCGUUUGGUUACAAUUGGAGAUGGCACCAAGUGUACAGGCAAGGGUGUUUGCAAGAGAGUGGAAUUGGAACUACAAGGGGUGGUGGUGGUGGCUGAUUUUUUUGCUAUUGAGUUGGGAAAUGUGGAUGUAAUAUUGGGUAUGCAGUGGCUGGAUACAACAGGCACCAUGAAGAUACAUUGGCCAUCUCUAACAAUGUCUUUCUGGUUAGGCAAACAGAAAAUUAUCUUGAAAGGAGACCCAUCCCUCAUCCAAGCAGAAUGUUCCCUGAAAACCAUUGAGAAAACGUGGGAAAAUGAAGAUCAGGGUUUUCUGUUGGAAUUCCAAAAGUAUGAAGUAGACACGGAGGUGGAAGUGGAGCAGGAAAUGAAAGGGGACGAGGAAGAGAUUCCAAUGAUUAAAAAUCUGUUACAACAGUAUGCAGACAUCUUUGAGGAUCCAAAACAACUACCCCUAAGAGAGAAAUAGAUCACCGUAUAUUGGUUUUACCGAACCAAAGGCCCAUCAAUUUCAGACCAUAUAAAUAUGGUUAUGUACAGAAGGAGGAAAUUGAGAAAUUGGUGGUGGAAAUGCUGCAAGCAGGUGUGAUACGUCCCAGUCAUAGCCCUUACUCCAGCCCUGUUUUAUUGGUCAAAAAGAAAGAUGGAGGGUGGCGCUUUUGUGUAGAUUACCGGAAACUCAACCAAGUAACCAUAUCGGACAAAUUUCCUAUCCCAGUGAUAGAAGAACUGCUGGAUGAAUUACAUGGAGCCACGGUUUUCUCAAAACUAGAUCUGAAGUCUGGUUACCAUCAAAUAAGGAUGCAGAAGGAAGAUGUUGAGAAGACCGCGUUCAGAACACAUGAGGGUCACUAUGAAUUUUUGGUAAUGCCCUUCGGUCUUACAAACGCACCAGCCACCUUCCAGUCCUUGAUGAAUCAGGUAUUCAAACCUUUCUUAAGAAGGUGUGUAUUGGUAUUCUUCGAUGAUAUACUUGUAUAUAGCAAGGAUAUAUCAGAACAUGAGAAACAUCUAGGGAUGGUAUUUGCAGUGUUGAGGGAUAACCAUCUAUUUGCAAAUAAGAAGAAGUGUGUCAUAGCUCACUCCAAAAUCCAAUAUUUGGGGCAUAUAAUUUCGAGUAAAGGAGUACAGGCUGAUGAGGAGAAGAUCAAAGACAUGGUGAAAUGGCCUCAGCCGAAAGAUGUCACGGGUCUGAGAGGAUUUCUGGGAUUAUCGGGCUAUUAUCGUAGGUUUGUGAAAGGAUACGGAGAAAUUGCAGCCCCUUGACCAGAUUGUUGCAAAAGAAUUCUUUUGCGUGGGAUGAACAAGCAACCGACGCUUUUGAAAAAUUAAAGAUGGCCAUGACUACUAUCCGGUGCUAGCACUGCCGAAUUGGGAUCUACCUUUUUUAAUCGAAACAGAUGCUUCAGGGACAGGAUUGGGAGCUGUACUUUCACAGAAUGGUCACCCCAUAGCCUUCUUCAGCCAGAAAUUGUCGACACGAGCUCAGGCCAAGUCCAUUUACGAAAGAGAACUGAUGGCUGUAGUAUUAUCAGUGCAGAAAUGGCGUCAUUAUCUAUUAGGAAGGAAGUUUACAAUUAUCUCAGAUCAAAAGGCAUUGAAAUUUCUCCUAGAGCAGAGGAAGUACAACCCCAAUUUCAGAAAUGGCUGACCAAACUGCUGGGAUACGAUUUUGAAAAUAUUAUACCAACCUGGAUUACAAAACAAAGCAGCAGAUGCCCUUUCUAGGAUGGAAUAUCCGCUGGAAGUAAACUCCUUGACGACAACUGGCAUUGUAGACAUGGAAGUGAUAGACAAGGAAGUCAACCAAGAUGAGGAAUUACAGAAAACCAUUAAAGAAUUGAAACAGAAUCCAGAGGGAAUUAGCAAAUUUAGCUGGGAGAAUGGGAAACUGUUCUACAAGAAGAGAGUGGUGUUAUCAAAGAAGUCGUCAGUGAUCCCACAUUGCUGCAUACAUUCCAUGACUCCAUCUUGGAGGACACUCGGGAUUCUUGAGGACAUAUAAAAGGAUGAGCGGAGAGCUGUACUGGGAGGGAAUGAAGGCUGAUAUAAAGAAAUAUGUGGAACAGUGUGAGAUUUGUCAAAGAACAAAUAUGAGGCCACGAAACCAGCAGGGGUAUUACAUCCACUUCCUGCUCCGGAAGCCAUACUAGAAGAAUGGUCAAUGGAUUUCAUAGAAGGGUUACCGAAGGCAGGGGAAUGAAUGUGAUAAUGGUGGUGGUAGACAGAUUGAGCAAGUAUGCGUAUUUCAUCACUAUGAAGCACCCUUUCACAGCUAAACAAGUGGCGACGACAUUCAUUGAAAAGAUCAUCAGCAAGCAUGGGGUUCCAAAAUCCAUAGUAUCCGACAGGGAUAAAGUUUUCAUUAGUCAUUUUUGGAAGGAGUUAUUUACAACUAUGGGAACUAAACUGAAAAGAAGCACGGCGUUCCACCCACAAACAGAUGGGCAAACGGAAAGGGUAAACCAAUGUCUGGAGACAUACUUGAGAUGCUUUUGCAAUGAGCAACCUCAAAGGUGGCAUAAGUUCAUUCCAUGGGCUGAACUGUGGUAUAACACUACUUUCCAUUCAUCCAUACGUUCCAACCCUUUCAAGAUUGUAUAUGGAAGGCAACCACCCCCGAUUCUAUCCUACGGAACCCGAAAAACUCAGAAUGAUGAGGUAGAAAUAAUGCUCAAGGAGAGAGAUCUGGCAUUGAACGCCUUGAAGGAGAAUCUUCACUUAGCCCAAAACCGCAUGAAGAAAUGGGCAGACACCAAAAGAAGGGAAUUGAAGUUCAAGGUGGGUGAUGAAGUAUACCUAAAGCUCAGACCUUAUAGGCAGAGAUCCUUAGCUCGGAAAAGGUGUGAAAAGCUGGCUCCAAAAUUCUACGGGCCUUACACAAUCAUUGAAGAGAUAGGAGAGGUGGCCUAUAGAUUGAAACUUCCACGAGAGGCGAGUAUUCAUGAUGUGUUCCACAUCUCACAGUUGAAGCUCAAGUUAGGUAAGCAGAAGGUUGUGCAGCAACAGCAACCUAUGUUGACAACAGAUUUCGAAUUACAACUAUGGCCAGAACAGGUAUUGGGAAUUCGCUGGAACAAAGAAUUGGGAGCUAACGAAUGGCUAGUCAAGUGGAAGAAUUUACCAGAAACUGAAGCCACAUGGGAAGCUGUCUAUCAAAUGAAUCAACAGUUUCCCACAUUCCACCUUGAGGACAAGGUGAAUUUGGAACCGAGGGGUGUUGUGAGACCCCCAAUCAUACAUACGUAUGUUAGGAAGGGUAAGAAGGGAAACUCACCAACAUGUAAGGAGAGAGAAUGAGUGGGAAAUAAAAGAAUGUGCAGGUGGGUCCCACUGGGUAGGAAUUUGAGGGUGAGUAUAAAUAGAAUGAUUGAGAAAUAGGGAUAGGUAUCUUUUUGGUUAUCUUUUAAGAAAGGGAGGCGGCAGCAGCCGAUAGGAGAGGGGUAUCCUUCUUGUGAAGGGUGCUGGUAUGUUCUUGUUGUUCAUUGUUCUUGUUUUCAUUCCUUAUUGUAGCUGUAACUUUGGGCUAUAUAUAUAAAUAAAGGAUCACAGGGUGCUGUCUCUGUUUAGCCAUAGUUGGGUAUUUUAUUAGAAAGGGUGUAGAAUCCUAACAGAAUUCUCACGGGGUGAAUGGGUGGUAAUUCUUCAAGGGGAUAGAAGUUUAGUAAGAUCCCAAGUGUCACUGAAAUCGAUAAUGAAAACCUUUGAGAAGGAAGAUCAAGGCGUGUCAAUCGAAUUAAGUGCAGUUGUACAGUGGGGAGUGGGCGAAGCAAGGGAACACAUAGCAGACUACUUGAGUAAACUACAACCAGAAAUUCAAAAGUUCUUCAGUCCUUUAGCAUUGUGUUUGAACCAAGCAAUCAAUUACCCCCACCUCGCGAUCAUGAUCAUGCUAUUGAAUUAGAACCAGGGGCUCGUGCAGUGAACGUGCGCCCGUAUCGUUAUCCCCAAUUUUAGAAAGAUGAGAUAGAGAAACUAGUUAAGGAAAUGCUGCUAGCCGGAAUAAUUCAGCCAAGCAAAAGUGCCUUUUCAGUGCUCCUUGUUAAGAAAAAGGAUGGUAGCUGGCGAUUUUGCGUUGAUUACCGAGCACUGAAUCUUGCCACUAUACCAGAUAAGUAUCUGAUUCCUGUUGUUGAUGAACUGUUAGACAAAUUAUUUGGGGCAACCAUAUUCUCCAAAAUUGAUUUAAAGUUAGGUUAUCAGCAAAUUCGGGUGCGGGCAGCCGAUGUUCACAAAACAGCGUUUCGAACCCACGAGGGGCCCUAUGAAUUCCUUGUGAUGCUGUUUGGGUUGAAACGCUCCGGCAACAUUCCAAUCAAUCAUGAGUGAUGUUCUUCGCCCAUAUUUACGCAAGUUUGUUUUGGUUUUCUUUGAUGACAUCUUAAUUUACAGCAAGUCCUUGGACGAGCAUUUGCACCAAUUGGCAAUGGUUUUGGAAACUCUAGUAGCUCAUCAACUGGUAGCCAACUUUAAAAAAUGCCAAUUUGCGGUUGCCAAAAUUGAAUACUUGGGCCAUGUUAUUUCUUCAGAGGGGGUGGCAGCGGAUCCAACAAAAAUAGAAGCGAUGGUUAAAUGGCCAGCACCCAAGAACGUGAAGGAGCUAGGUGGGUUUUUUGGGGCUAACGGGGUAUUAUCGGAAAUUCGUUGCAAACUACGGUUCUAUUGUGCUGCCCCCCUUGACACAACUGUUAAAAAAAGGUAACUUUAAGUGGAAUGAGACGACCGAGAACGCAUUUCAGCAGUUAAAAGUCAGCAAUGAUGUCUGUCCCGAUGCUAGGUAUUCCUGAUUUUUCACAAAGUUUUGUGCUGGAAACUGAUGCUUCGGGUGUGGGUAUUGGGGCUGUCCUAAUGCAAAAUCAACGACCAGUGGCCUUUUUCAGUCAAGCUUUACCUAUUACCCAUAGGUUUAAGGCUGUUUAUGAACGGGAGCUUAUGGCAAUAGUGCUGGCUGUUCAAAAAUGGCGACCAUAUCUAUUGGGUAAGCCUUUUGUGGUGCGUACAGAUCAGAAAAGUUUGAAGUUUCUUCUUGAACAACGGGCUAUCGGGGAGAAUAUCAGAGAUGGAUCGCUAAACUAUUGGGGUAUGAUUUUGUGAGUGAGUACAAGAAAGGAUUGGAAAACAAAGCGGCCGAUGCCUUAUAGAGAUUACCACCGGUAUUUGAAUUGGGCCUCGUAAGUAUUGUGGGCGGGCUAAACCCUUCGGUUUUCAUCGAUCAAGUGGCUGGAAAUGAAUCUCUUAACAAUAUUCGACUAUCCUUGAUAAAUGGACAGCCAGCUCCAGAUGGAUAUUUGCUACAAGGAGGAGGAUUCACCUAAUAUUACUUUAUUAUUAGCUGAGUUCCAUAACAGCCCGAUAGGGGGACAUCAUGGUGCAUUGAAAACAUAUCAAAGGCUAGCAAGGGAGGUCUAUUGGCGAGGUAUGAAAGCCCAUAUCCGCACCUAUGUUGCUGAAUGUUCCGUGUGUCAGCAAGCCAAAUACUUGUCUUUAACUCAGGCUGGUUUCCUUCAAGCAUUACCCAUUCCGGACCGUGUGUGGGAAGAUAUUAGUAUGGAUUUUAUUGAGGGCCUCCACAGUUUGUUACAGGGGAGGUUAAAAGGGAGAGAUGGAAGGAAAGAUGGGGGUUGGUUAAUCAGUUUCUGGAAGUGGAAGGGCUGUAUUUUCUGGAGAGCAGAAUUACAGAAGUUGUUCAGUUACUUUAAUCUUAGAAAGUGUUUUCCAUUAUCCUAAACUACUUUUGAUGUUUGAAUGUUUUAUUUUAUACUUGGUUAUUGUCUGUAAUAGUACUUGUUUGUUCGGUGUUUUCAAGACUGGUUUGAGUAUUGUAUUCUGUAAUAGUUUGGUUGCUUAAUGAACAAAUAAGAACCACUACUUGGUGUUCUAUCAGCUUCUCAGUCAAGCAUACACAUCUCAAUAAGGUAUUAUACAUGCAAUCAAACAAUCACAACAUACAUACCAUUUACUCAAAACGACCUAAAACAUGCUCAAAACGACCUAAAACGUGCUCAAAACGUGUCUAACUUUCACUGCAACUUUCAAAACGACCUAAAACAGCUUAAGUGCAGGUUCGUAACUCAUAACCUACGAAAAAAGUUCAAAUAUUGUGAAAAAAGCACUACAAUACCCAAAAUGGCAACCAAGUGUGUAAGUGCAACAAACUUAGUUCAAACCAACCUAAAACGUGCUCAAAACGUGUCUAGGUAUUACUUGAGUUUUCAAAACGACCUAGCAAAUCCUAAGGGUAAGUUCGUAACUCAUAAUCUACCGAAAAGGUUGAAAAAAGCAUUUCAAGAAAAAAUGACAACCAUGUGUGUAAGUGCAACAAACUCAAUCUAACCUAAAAUGUAUUCAAAACGUGUGUAAGUAUCACUUGAAUUUUCAAAACGACCCAGCAAUGCUUAAGUGUAAGUUUGUAACUCACAACCUACCAAAAUUUCAAAAAAUGUGAAAAAAGUACUUCAAGACCCAACAUGUCAAUCAAAUGUGUUUAAAACUUAGUGUCAAACCAACCUAAAACGAGUUCAAAACGUGUCUAAGUAUCACUUGAACUUUCAAAACGACCUAAAAAAGCUUACGUGUAGGUUCGUAACUCAUAACCUACGAAAAAAGUUCAAAUAGAGUGAAAAAAGCACUACAAGACCCAAAAUGGCAACCAAGUGUGUAAGUGCAACAAACUUAGUUCAAACCAACCUAAACAUGCUCAAAACGUGUCUAGGUAUUACUUGAGUUUUCAAAACGAUCUAGCAAAUCCUAAGUGUAAGUUAGUAACUCAUAAUCUACCAAAAAGGUUGAAAAAAGCAUUUCAAGACCAAAAAUGACAACCAAGUGCAACAAACUCAAUCUAACCUAAAAUGUAUUCAAAACGUGUGUAAGUAUCACUUGAAUUUUCAAAACGACCAAGCAAUGCUUCAGUGUAAGUUUGUAACUCACAACCUACCAAAAUUUCAAAAAGUAUGAAAAAAGUACUUCAAGACCCAACAUGUCAAUCAAAUGUGUGUAAAACUUAGUUUCAAACCAACCUAAAACGAGUUCAAAACGUGUCUAAGUUUCACUUGAACUUUCAAAACGACCUAACAAAUAUUCAAUACAAGUUCAUAAGUCAUAACCUAGAAAAAGUUCAAAAUUUUUGAAAAAGACACUCCAAAACCCAAAAUGUCAAGUGUGUAAGUGCAACGAACUUAGUUCUAUACAAACCUAACAAGUAUUCAAAACACGUAUAAGUUUUCGAACACCCUAACAACGCUUAAGUGUAAGUUUAUAACUCAUAACUUACCAAAAAUUUCAAAAAGUGUGAAAAAAAAUCUUUCAAGACUCAAAAUGGCAACCAUGGCUGUAUGCAAAACUAACUUAGUUUGUAACAACCUAAAAGGUGUUCAAAAAUGUUUUAAGUAUCACUCGAACUUUAAAAAACCUAAUAAUGCUUUAGUGUUACUUCAUAACUCAUAACCUACCAAAAAGUUCAAAAAAUGUAGAAAAAGCACUCCAAAAUCCAAAAUGGCAACCAAGUGUGUAAGUGCAACAAGCUUAGUCCAACUUUAAAAUUAGUGCGAGUUGGGAAAUGUAUUAACUCAAGCAUGAUGUACAAACUUGAAACGACUUAAAUAUUUAUUCACCAUCACAUAAAAACAGUAAUUAAAUAUAGAUAACAUGUGUAAAUAAAGGGAGAAUCACCUUUCUAGCAAGCUUUAGAGUAAGACCAAACACCAUCCUCCUACUUGUAAAUCUGCUCGAUUGUCUACUUUGUUCUACACUCGUCAUUUCACCGUCUCAGGCCAUCCAUUGAAUUGGCCACCCAGCCUUGGCAUACAAGAGUAUGUCUCAGCCUGUUAACAAAUACCACUAAAACUAAGCAAGACAAAGAAAAAGUUUUCAAAAAUUACCUAACUUUUAGUCUUCAUGUGACUUUAAGUUCUUCUGUCUUCUCCUUCAACUCUUUGACAGAUUGCUGAAAUUAUGUGUUUCUGCAAUGUUUACCAGAACAUGAAAGAUUCAUUACGAACAUAAAUACCAUGAAUACAAAGCAUGAAGAAAUAGUAAAACAGUCAAUACAAGAAGAAAAAAGUUCACUUGAAAACGACCUAAAACAGUAUCACUUGAACAAAAUGUGUCUAAGUAUCACUUGAACUUUCAAAACGACCUAAAACAGCUUACGUGUAGGUUCGUAACUCAUAACCUACGAAAAAAGUUCAAAUAGAGUGAAAAAAGCACUACAAGACCCAAAAUGGUAACCAAGUGUGUAAGUGCAACAAACUUAGUUCAAACCAACCUAAAACGUGCUCAAAACGUGUCUAGGUAUUACUUGAGUUUUCAAAACGACCUAGCAAAUCCUAAAUGUAGGUUUGUAACUCAUAAUCUACCAAAAAGGUUGAAAAAAGCAUUUCAAGACCAAAAAUGACAACCAAGUGCAACAAACUCAAUCUAACCUAAAAUGUAUUCAAAACGUGUGUACGUAUCACUUAAACUUUCAAAACGACCAAACAAUGCUUAAGUGUAAGUUUGUAACUCACAACCUACCAAAAUUUCAAAAAGUGUAAAAAAAGCACUUCAAGACCCAAAACGGCAACGAAGUAUGUAAGUGCAACGGACUUAGUUUCAAGCCAUCCUAAAAAGAGUGCAAAACGUGUCUAAGAUUUCAAACCGACCAAACAAUACUCAAGCGUAAGUUCGUAACUCACAACCUAAAAAAAUUUCAAAAAGUGUGAAAAAAAGUACUUCAAGACCAACAUUUCAAUCAAAUGUGUAAGUGCAACAAACUUAGUUUCAAACCAAUGCAAAAUGUGUUUAAAACGACCUAACAAUCCUUAAGUGUAAGCUCGUAACUCACAAACUAACAAAAAAAUCAAAAUGCGUGAAAAAUGCACUUUGAGACCUAACAUGGCAACCAAGUAUGCAAGUGAAACAAACUUAGUCUUAAACAAAUCUAAAAAAUUUCAAACCGUGUUUAAGUAUCACUUGAACUUUCAGAACGACCUAAGAAUGUUUAUUUGUAAGUUCGUCACUCAUAACCUACCAAAAGUUCAAGAAGUAUGGAAAAAAAGGAAACACUACACGACCCAAAAUGGCAACCAAGUGCGCAACUGCAAACAAAAUUAGUUCCAAACCAACCUAAAAAGUGGUCAAGGCGUGUCUAAGUAUCACUUGGACUUUCAAAACAACCUAACAAAAUUUAAGUGUAAGUUGGUAACCCAUAGCCUACCAAAAAGUUCAAAAAGUGUGAAAACGGCACUUCAAGACCGAAAAUGGCAACCAAUUGGAUAAGGUCAACAAACUUAGUUUCAAACCAACCUAAACGAGUUAAAAACGUGUCUAAGUAUCACUUGAACUUUUAAAAUGUCCUAAAACAGCUUACGUGUAGGUUCGUAACUCAUAACCUACGAAAAAAGUUCAAAUAUUGUGCAAAAAGCACUACAAGACCCAAAAUGGCAACCAAGUGUGUAAGUGCAACAAACUUAGUUCAAACCAACCUAAAAUGUGCUCAAAACGUGUCUAGGUAUUACUUAAGUUUUCAAAGCGACCUAGCAAAUCCUAAGUGUAACUUUGAAACUCAUAAUCUACCAAAAAGGUUGAAAAAAGCAUUUCAAGACCAAAAAUGACAACCAAGUGCAACAAACUCAAUCUAACCUAAAAUGUAUUCAAAACGUGUGUAAGUAUCACUUGAAUUUUCAAAACGACCCAGCAAUGCUUAAGUGUAAGUUUGUAACUCACAACCUACCAAAAUUUCAUAAAGUGUGAAAAAAGUACUUCAAGACCCAACAUGUCAAUCAAAUGUGUUUAAAACUUAUUGUCAAACCAACCUAAAACGAGUUCAAAACGUGUCUAAGUAUCACUUGAACUUUCAAAACGACCUAAAAAAGCUUACGUGUAGGUUUGUAACUCAUAACCUACGAAAAAAGUUCAAAUAGUGUGAAAAAAGCACUACAAGACCCAAAAUGGUAACCAAGUGUGUAAGUGCAACAAACUUAGUUCAAACCAACCUAAAACGUGCUCAAAACGUGUCUAGGUAUUACUUAAGUUUUCAAAACGACCUAGCAAAUCCUAAGUGUAAGUUCGUAACUCAUAAUCUACCAAAAAGGUUGAACAAACAACUAUGGCUUUAGAGUAAGACCAAACACCAUCCUCCUACUUGUAAAUCUGCUCGAUUGUCUACUUUGUUCUACACUCGUCAUUUCACCGUCUCAGGCCAUCCAUUGAAUUGGCCACCCAGCCUUGGCAUACAAGAGUAUGUCUCAGCCUGUUAACAAAUACCACUAAAACUAAGCAAGACUAAGAAAAAAGUUUUCAAAAAAUUACCUAACUUUUAGGUCUUCAUGUGACCUUUAAGUUCUUCUGUCUUCUCCUUCAACUCUUUGACAGAUUGCUGAAAUUAUGUGUUUCUGCAAUGUUUACCAGAACAUGAAAGAUUCAUUACGAAACUAAUUACCAUGAAUACAAGCCAUGAAGAAAUACAAAGAAGCCUCUUCAUUAAGCUGAAAAUGAGUAGACAAGACAAAAGAUAAUACAAAGAAGCCCUAGGAUCAGCUAGUGCACUUGGACAUCUCAUCUAGGUUGACACCCACUUAGCAUUCUCACCAUAUCGAGACUUAAACCAAAAGACUAAACCAACGACAAGGUUUAGAAUAGAUCAUACAAACUGCCCAAUAACUAUACAACAUAGAUUUAAGACCACUAGAAAUCCAAAAGAAAUAAAAUAAGAGUACAGUAGUGGACUAAGAAUUAAAAAUGAAAGUCGGCCAAUUAUGACUUAUAUCUUGUAUGGAGAAAUCUUUGAAGUCUUUUGAAAGAGAGCAUCAAGUAGAAGCAUUGAUUCUAGCCAUUUCGACUCGAGUUGUCCAAGAGGAAGCUUUAUUUUGAAAUGUUAGUUGAUUUUGUUCAAACCAAAUUUCUGGUAAAAUGGCCUUUACUGCAUUUAACCAAAUCAAUCUUGGUUUCUUCUUGAGAAUGGGACAUGAAAUAAGCUGGACCACGUUCUCCUAAAUCUAUAGUCGAAAACCCAAUUCAAAUGAAGAUAGCCAAGUAAGCCAAACCAACACUUCUUUGCAUGUAAGCAGGAGAAGAAAAUAUGAUGUAAAUCUUCUAAAGCAUGCAAACACAAGGGACAAACAUGAGGAGAUAAACUGAGAAAGGGAGGUUUCAUUUGCAAAACUUCUGCACAGUUCAUAGUCCAUUUUGCAUUCUCCAAAGUGUGAUAUUCACUCUUCUAGGGCUUUUUGUCUUCCAAAUUGUCGAGUACUUUGUUUUCAAGACUGUGUUAGAACCUGUUUUCUGUAAAUGUUUGGCUGAUUAAUAAAUUAGUAGAACACACUAUUUGGUGUUCUAUCAUUUUGGUAUCGUAGAAAUCGAAUCUGUGAAGUUCUAUAUCAUGGCUCAAAAGCGAAUUGAGGAAAAGUUGGAAAUGGUAGAUCAAGAAAUAUCCGGCAUUCGAGCAGAAUUACAUGAUCUGCCAACAAUCAAGGAAAACAUGUCAUCUUUGGCGAAGAGUAUUGAGAGGUUAGGAGUACAGGCUGAGAAGCAACAACAGCAACCAGAAACACUGUUGAAAUAUAUUGAAGGAAUGAUCAAAGAGAAGACAACGAUGGAAGAAGUACUAGAAGGAUCAUCAAGUAAAGUUGACAGCAUGGUUGAUGUCAGUGAUUGGACGAUGAUGGGAGGAAAAUCUGAGGAAAAACAUACCAAGUUGGAGGGUGAAGAUUCUGCGGGCGACCGAAGCAAAUUUAAAAAAAUUGAAAUGCCAGUUUUUGUGGGAAAUGAUCCUGAUUCUUGGUUGUUUAGGGCUGAGAGAUACUUUCAGAUACACAAACUGAGUGAGUCAGAGAAAAUGACUGUGUCCAUUAUUAGUUUUGAUGGAGCAGCUUUGGAUUGGUAUAAAUCUCAUGAAGAUCGUGAACCGUUUGUUAAUUGGGACGAUUUAAAGAAGAGACUUAUUGUUUGAUUUCGAUCGAGUCGUGAGGGAUCAAUUCUGGGAAGAUUUUUAAAGAUCAAGCAAGAAAUUACAGUGGAAGAAUAUCGGAAUUUAUUUGACAAAUCAGUAGCACCAUUGCCUUUUCUACAAAAGGCUGUCUUAGAAGAAACAUUUAUGAAUGGUUUGAAACCAUGGAUUAAGGCAGGCAUGGAAUGUUGGGAACCUAUGGGGCUUGCUCAAAUGAUGAAGUUGGCCCAAAAGAUUGAGAACCGAGAAGUGAUAAGGGGAGAAUCAAGUUUCAAACGUGCAGCGGAUGGAAAAUUCCAGGUUUCUGCUUCUUUUAAACCUCAAAUUCCUGUGAUUUCUAAUGAUAAUAAGUCAAAGUCAGAAGGGAUUGUUCCAAUGCGGAUGAUUACACUUCGAGGAGUGGCUGGUGAACCUAAUCGACGAGAAGGACCACUAAAACGACUUCUGAUGCUGAAUUUCAGGCUAGACGUGAGAAAGGUCUCUGUUUUCGUUGUGAGGAAUGAUUUUUUGUGGGCCAUAAGUGUAAAGUGAAAGAUCAUAAGGAACUUAGAGUUUUAGUUGUUGGGGCAAAUGGGGAAGAACUAGAAGUAGUUGAAGAAGAGGAUUCAGGAAACUUCUGAUUAUGGGGUUAUUUUGGGGUCUGAAUCAGCUGUAAAAGGGAAGGGAAUUUGUAAACAAGUGGAACUGCUAUUGGGUGAAUGGAAGGUUGUGGAUAAUUUUCUGCCAUUGGAAUUGGGGGGGAGUGGAUGUCAUUCUUGGUAUGCAAUGGCUACAUACAUUAGGAGUAACCGAAGUAGAUUGGUGAAAAAUUACUUUGACAUUCAUACAAAAUGGGAAGAAGGUUGUAUUAAGGGGAGAUCCGAGUCAUACGAAGGCUAGGGUGAGUUUGAAGCACAUGAUGAAGACAUGGACAGAACUUGAUCAGGGAUUUCUGAUUGAGUGUGGAUCUUUGGAAGGUGGAAUGGCAUUUGCAGCGAUGUAUGGGGUUGAUGAAGUGCCUACCACUCAUGAGUCUAUUCCAGCCGUGUUAGCUAAGAAUGAAGAUGUUUUUGAUUGGCCUGGAGAGUUGCCACCACAAUGUACCAUUGAACAUCAUAUACAUCUUAAGAAGGGGACUAAUCCAGUCAAUGUUCGGCCUUAUAGAUAUGCAUACCAGCAAAAGGAGGAGAUGGAAAGAUUGGUUGAUGAAAUGAUGGCAUUUGGCAUAAAAACCUAGUACUAGUCCAUAUUCGAGCCCGGUCUUGUUGGUGAAAAAAAAAUGGUAGUUGACGGUUUUGUGUAGAUUACCGUGCGUUGAAUAGUGUGACCGUUCCAGACAAGUUUCCUAUUCCAGUAGUAGAGGAAUUGUUUGAUGAACUUAAUGGGGCUAAUAUAUUUUCGAAGAUUGAUCUCAAGGCGGGAUAUCAUCAAAUUAGAAUGUGUAAAAAGGAUGUGAAGAAAACAGCUUUUAGAACUCACGAGGGGCAUUAUGAGUUUCUUGUCAUGCCUUUUGGGCUCACCAAUGCACCAUCAACGUUUCAAGCUUUGAUGAAUAGUAUCUUUAAACCUUACCUACGCAGGUUUUCUUAGUCUUUUUUGAUGAUAUAUUAAUUUACAGCAGAAGUUUGGAUGAAAAUCUUCAACAUUUAGAAUGGGUGUUAGAGGUGCUGCGAGAGAAUAAAUUAUAUGCUAAUAUGCAGCACAAGUGUGGGUUUGCCAAAAUGAAAGUGGAGUAUCUUGGCCAUAUAAUUUCGGGCAAGGGUGUAGAGGUUGAUCCCGAGAAAAUUAGAUCUAUCAAAGAAUGGCCCGUGCCCACUAAUGUCCGUGAAGUUCGUGGAUUUCUUGGGUUGACAGGAUAUUAUCGAAGAUUUGUAAUGAAUUAUGGAAGUGUGGCUGCUCCUUUGACUCAACUAUUGAAGAAAGGAGCAUAUGAAUGGACUGUUGCAGCUGCUGAAGCUUUUGAGAAUUUAAAGAUGGCUACGAUGACUCUCCCAAUCUUAGCACUGCCAGAUUUUUCCUUACCAUUUGAAAUAGAGACCGAUGCUUCUGGAUACGGGGUAGGUGCUGUCUUAAUUCAAAAUCAUCGGCCAAUUGCUUAUUUUAGCCAGACAUUAGCUAUGAGGGAUCGUGCUAAACCAGUUUAUGAACGGGAAUUAAUGGCUGUAGUUUUGGCUGUGCAACGCUGUAGACCUUAUCUUUUGGCAGGAGGUUUGUAGUGAAAACUGAUCAACGAUCAUUGAAACUUUUAUUGGAACAAAGGGUUAUCCAACCUCAACAUCAGAGAUGGAUUGCUAAGCUUCUUGGCUAUAAUUUUGAUGUCGUGUAUAAACCGGGACUAGAAAACAAAGCAGCAGAUGCCUUGUCUCGUGUCCCUCCUACUGCCCAACUUAAUCAACUUACUGUUGAGAUCAGUUAAAUUGGCAGUCCCCAACACUGAAGUUGACCCUAAAUUAGUCCCAGAAAUUAAUGGGAUGGAUCUGAAUGUCUUGUUCAAUGAUGAAGAUAUUCUCCCUAUUAAAAUUCCCCUGGAUUUGCCUAAAGAUUUAGUGUCUAUAGUCGGCGAUUGUGGAAUCAUUCUGGCUUAAAUUAGAUGUGCAACUGCCUUUUCCUCCUCCCAGUCAUUAUUAAGGUUGUCUCCUGGAACACUAAGGUUUGAACGACUCCUCUAAACGUGCAGCACUUAAAAAAUUCAUCAACAAUUGUAGUCAUGAUUCAAGAAUCUAAGAAGGAUACCUUGAACUCGGCUUUUAUAAAAUCAUUGUGGAGUUCUAAGGAUAUUGGCUGGGAUUAUGUGGCUUCUGUUGGAUCUUCUGGGGGAAUUCUUACCAUGUGGGACAGCAGUAAAAUAUCUGUAACAGAGGUCAUUAAAAGACGCUUCUCUUUGUCAAUCAAAUGCCUCACUUUGUGCAAAAAGGUUUGUUGGAUCACAAAUGUCUAUGGCCCUUGUGGUUGCAAAGAAAGGAAAUUGGUUUGGCCCGAAUUGUCUUCCUUAGCUGAUUGUUCGGCCGUGGCCUGGUGCAUAGGUGGGAAUUUUAAUAUCACUCGUUGGGCCCGGAAAGAUUUCCUUUUGGCAGAAGUACUAGAGGAAUGUCAUUAUUCAAUAAGUUUAUUGACAUGGUUUCUCUCAUGGAAAUUCCAUUGCAAAAUGGAAGGUUCACUUGGUCUAGAGACGGUAGUUCUCCUUGAAGAUCAUUAUUAGACACAUUCUUCAUAAAUCAGAUGUGGGAUGUUUGUUUUGAAAAUUCUCGGGUUUCUCGAAAAGCACGCAUCUUCUCGGAUCACUUUCCUUUAUUCUUGGAGGCUGGUUCUUUUCUUUGGGGUCCCUCUCCUUUUCGGUUUUGUAACAGCUGGUUGGUGUCCAGUGAUUCUAAUCAGAUUAUUGUUGAAACAGUGAGCAACUCUAACUUCCAGGGAUGGGCUGGUUUCAUUCUUCAUGAGCAGUUGAGAUCAGUUAAAUUGGCAGUAAAAGCUUGGAAUAUUGCUGCGCAAGCUAAGGUAAAAAAAAAAACAGAGAAAUCCUUGAUGUCAAAAUUAGAAAAAUAUGAUUUUGUGGCUGAGUUGAUUGGAUUAAAUCAAGAAGAGUUGAAUUCUAGAGCUGCUUUGCAAGCGGAAUUACUUAGUAUUUAUCAAAAUGAAGAGCGUAAUUUUAUUCAGAAGAGUAAACUCAAUUGGCUUUCUUUGGGUGAUGAGAAUACGGGCUUCUUCCACCGCUUUCUAAAUGCGAAUAAAAGAAGGAACCUCAUAACUGAAUUAAAAGAUGAUGAUGGGGUUGUCUCGACUUCAUUCCGCGACAUUGAAAGGCUUGUGCUGGAAUUUUUUGAGUCACUUUAUACCAGAAUUCGGGGGACAGAUUCAUCCCUAUUAACAGUAAUUGGUCUUGUGUUUCCUCAAUUCAGAAUGAGGCUCUUGUUACCCAGUUUUCAGUGGAGGAGAUCUUUAAGGCAUUAAAGGCACUUGGCAACAAUAAAGCUCCGGGCCCGGAUGGCUUCACAGUGAAGUUCCUAAUCACCCAAUGGUCUAUUUUCAAGGAUAUCUUCAAAUCACUAAUGUCUGAUUUCCACAGAAAUGGAAGAUUAAAUGCUUGCAUCCAAGAAAACUUCAUUUGUUUAGUGCAGAAAAAAGAGAAUGUGACUCUAGUCAAGGAUUUCCGUCCAAUCAGCCUUACUACGUUAGCAUACAAGGUCGUCGCAAAGGUUUUAUCUGAACGUCUAAAACAAGUUAUGGAUGCAAUUAUAAGCCCCACUCAAAGCGCCUUUAUUGAAGGUAGGCAAAUUCUUGACCCAAUAUUAAUUGCUAACGAGGCCGUGGAAGAUUAUAGGGCAAAACGGAAAAAAGGAUGGAUUUUAAAACUUGACUUGGAAAAAGCCUUUGAUAGGGUGAAUUGGAACUUUUUAGAAAAAAAUUUAUCUUUGAAAAAGUUUAGUUCCAAAUGGAUAUCAUGGAUAAUGGGCUGCCUAAAAAAUCCAAAGUAUUCAUCUUCAAUGGUAAGCCUAGAGGCCGGAUAACAGCAUCUAGAGGUAUCCGCCAAGGGGACCCCCUCUCCCCCUUUUUAUUCCUCCUAGUAAGUGAGGUUUUAGGAGAAAUCAUAAACAAGCUUCAUAUUAACAGCCAGUUUGAAGGUUUCCUUGUUGGCAAAGACUUGAUCCACCUCCCUUUGCUUCAAUUUGUCGAUGAUACUCUUCUCUUUUGUAAGUAUGAUGUGAAGAUGCUCCUUAAACUUUAAAACGUCAUUAGAUUAUUCGAAUGGUGUUCGGGGCAGAAAGUAAACUGGGAAAAAUCAGCCCUUAGCGGCGUUAAUGUGGGAGAGGAAGAUUUGUUUCAAACAGCAAAUCUGAUAGGGUGCAAGGUAGAAAAGCUUCCGAUUAUAUAUUUAGGUCUCCCUUUGGGAGGCUACCCUCGACAAAAGUCUUUUUGGCAACCAGUCAUUGAUCGAAUUCACAAGAAACUUGAAAGGUGGAAAAGAUAUAACAUCUCUAGAGGCGGAAGACAAACCUUAUGCAACUCAGUUCUGGUUAGCCUUCCUACAUACUACCUACUUUAUUUUCUAUACCUGAAAAUGUGGCUGCCUCUUUGUUAAAGUGAGUUUUUGGAGUGAAGGAAAAUGUCUGCAAUACUGCUUGAAAGACAGGGGAAGCAGAAGAUUGGUGUUCUAUAUUCUGGUUUGCUUAUUAGUAUUUUGUUGUUCGGAAUUUUGGAUUAGGAGGUUUUCUUUGUUUGAUGUUUGUGAAUUAUAUGUAACGUGACUCAUUUUCUGAGGUUCACGGUUUGCUUAUGUUGUAAGUUGUGUUUGAAUUAUCAAUAUAAUAGAAACACUACAUCAGUGUUCUAUCAGGAUGUCAUCCUUGGAAUGCAAUGGCUGCACACGUUGGGGUAACUGAAGUGGAUUAGCGGAAACUCACUUUAUCUUUCAUACAAAAUGAAAAGAAUGUUGUUAUAAGGGGUGACCCGAGUUUGACAAAGACUAGAGUGAGUCUGUAACACAUGAUGGAGACAUGGACACCAUCUGAUUAAGGUUUCUUGACAAAAUGUCGAGCUAUGGAGGGAGGAAUGACAUUUACCGAACUAUAUGGAAUUGAUGAUGUUCCUACAUUUCAAGAGUUACUACCAGCAGACAAUUUUGGCUAUCCUAAAAAUCCAGCAACAAAGAAGUGGGAAGUGCUUGUUAGUUGGAAAGGAAUACCACCUCAUGAGGCUACAUGGGAGAACUGUGAUGAUUUUACACAAAAGCUUCCUCAUUUCCCACCUUGAGAACAAGGUGUCUUUGGAGAGGGAGAGUAAUGAUAGACCACCAAUUGCAAUACAAUAUAGCAGAAGAAAGACAAGUGGAAUUGCACGUGCACAGGUGAUGGAAUUGGAGGAAGUGGAAACCACCUUAGUGGGGACAACAGUUAGUUACAGGGGGAGGUUAAAAGGGAGAGAUGGAAGGAAAGAUGGGGGUUGGUUAAUCAGUUUCUGGAAGUGGAGGGGCUGUAUUUUCUGGAGAGCAGAAUUACAGAAGUUGUUCAGUUACUUUAAUCUUAGAAAGUGUUUUCCAUUAUCCUAAACUACUUUUGAUGUUUGAAUGUUUUAUUUUAUACUUGGUUAUUGUCUGUAAUAGUACUUGUUUGUUCGGUGUUUUCAAGACUGGUUUGAGUAUUGUAUUCUGUAAUAGUUUGGUUGCUUAAUGAACAAAUAAGAACCAUUACUUGGUGUUCUAUCAGCUUCUCAAUCAAGCAUACACAUCUCAAUAAGGUAUUAUACAUGCAAUCAAACAAUCACAACAUACAUACCAUUUACUCAAAACGACCUAAAACAUGCUCAAAACGACCUAAAACGUGCUCAAAACGUGUCUAACUUUCACUGCAACUUUCAAAACGACCUAAAACAGCUUACGUGCAGGUUCGUAACUCAUAACCUACGAAAAAAGUUCAAAUAUUGUGAAAAAAGCACUACAAGACCCAAAAUGGCAACCAAGUGUGUAAGUGCAACAAACUUAGUUCAAACCAACCUAAAACGUGCUCAAAACGUGUCUAGGUAUUACUUGAGUUUUCAAAACGACCUAGCAAAUCCUAAGGGUAAGUUCGUAACUCAUAAUCUACCGAAAAGGUUGAAAAAAGCAUUUCAAGACCAAAAAUGACAACCAUGUGUGUAAGUGCAACAAACUCAAUCUAACCUAAAAUGUAUUCAAAACGUGUGUAAGUAUCACUUGAAUUUUCAAAACGACCCAGCAAUGCUUAAGUGUAAGUUUGUAACUCACAACCUACCAAAAUUUCAAAAAGUGUGAAAAAAGUACUUCAAGACCCAACAUGUCAAUCAAAUGUGUUUAAAACUUAGUGUCAAACCAACCUAAAACGAGUUCAAAACGUGUCUAAGUAUCACUUGAACUUUCAAAACGACCUAAAAAAGCUUACGUGUAGGUUCGUAACUCAUAACCUACGAAAAAAGUUCAAAUAGAGUGAAAAAAGCACUACAAGACCCAAAAUGGCAACCAAGUGUGUAAGUGCAACAAACUUAGUUCAAACCAACCUAAAACAUGCUCAAAACGUGUCUAGGUAUUACUUGAGUUUUCAAAACGACUAGCAAAUCCUAAGUGUAAGUUUAACUCAUAAUCUACCAAAAAGGUUGAAAAAAGCAUUUCAAGACCAAAAAUGACAACCAAGUGCAACAAACUCAAUCUAACCUAAAAUGUAUUCAAAACGUGUGUAAGUAUCACUUGAAUUUUCAAAACGACCAAGCAAUGCUUCAGUGUAAGUUUGUAACUCACAACCUACCAAAAUUUCAAAAAGUAUGAAAAAAGUACUUCAAGACCCAACAUGUCAAUCAAAUGUGUGUAAAACUUAGUUUCAAACCAACCUAAAACGAGUUCAAAACGUGUCUAAGUUUCACUUGAACUUUCAAAACGACCUAACAAAUAUUCAAUACAAGUUCAUAAGUCAUAACCUAGAAAAAGUUCAAAAUUUUGAAAAAGACACUCCAAAACCCAAAAUGUCAAGUGUGUAAGUGCAACGAACUUAGUUCUAUACAAACCUAACAAGUAUUCAAAACACGUAUAAGUUUUCGAACACACCUAACAACGCUUAAGUGUAAGUUUAUAACUCAUAACUUACCAAAAAUUUCAAAAAGUGUGAAAAAAAAUCUUUCAAGACUCAAAAUGGAAACCAUGGCUGUAUGCAAAACUAACUUAGUUUGUAACAACCUAAAAGGUGUUCAAAAAAUGUUUAAGUAUCACUCGAACUUUAAAAACGCCUAAUAAUGCUUUAGUGUUACUUCAUAACUCAUAACCUACCAAAAAGUUCAAAAAAUGUAGAAAAAGCACUCCAAAAUCCAAAAUGGCAACCAAGUGUGUAAGUGCAACAAACUUAGUCUCAACUUUAAAAUUAGUGCGAGUUGGGAAAUGUAUUAACUCAAGCAUGAUGUACAAACUUGAAACGACUUAAAUAUUUAUUCACCAUCACAUAAAAACAGUAAUUAAAUAUAGAUAACAUGUGUAAAUAAAGGGAGAAUCACCUUUCUAGCAGUAGCUUUAGAGUAAGACCAAACACCAUCCUCCUACUUGUAAAUCUGCUCGAUUGUCUACUUUGUUCUACACUCGUCAUUUCACCGUCUCAGGCCAUCCAUUGAAUUGGCCACCCAGCCUUGGCAUACAAGAGUAUGUCUCAGCCUGUUAACAAAUACCACUAAAACUAAGCAAGACUAAGAAAAAAGUUUUCAAAAAAUUACCUAACUUUUAGGUCUUCAUGUGACUUUUAAGUUCUUCUGUCUUCUCCUUCAACUCUUUGACAGAUUGCUGAAAUUAUGUGUUUCUGCAAUGUUUACCAGAACAUGAAAGAUUCAUUACGAACAUAAAUACCAUGAAUACAGAGCAUGAAGAAAUAGUAAAACAGUCAAUACAAGAAGAAAAAAGUUCACUUGAAAACGACCUAAAACAGUAUCACUUGAACAAAAUGUGUCUAAGUAUCACUUGAACUUUCAAAACGACCUAAAACAGCUUACGUGUAGGUUCGUAACUCAUAACCUACGAAAAAAGUUCAAAUAGAGUGAAAAAAGCACUACAAGACCCAAAAUGGUAACCAAGUGUGUAAGUGCAACAAACUUAGUUCAAACCAACCUAAAACGUGCUCAAAACGUGUCUAGGUAUUACUUGAGUUUUCAAAAACGACCUAGCAAAUCCUAAAUGUAGGUUUGUAACUCAUAAUCUACCAAAAAGGUUGAAAAAAGCAUUUCAAGACCAAAAAUGACAACCAAGUGCAACAAACUCAAUCUAACCUAAAAUGUAUUCAAAACGUGUGUACGUAUCACUUAAACUUUCAAAACGACCAAACAAUGCUUAAGUGUAAGUUUGUAACUCACAACCUACCAAAAUUUCAAAAAGUGUAAAAAAAGCACUUCAAGACCCAAAACGGCAACGAAGUAUGUAAGUGCAACGGACUUAGUUUCAAGCCAUCCUAAAAAGAGUGCAAAACGUGUCUAAGAUUUCAAACCGACCAAACAAUACUCAAGCGUAAGUUCGUAACUCACAACCUAAAAAAAUUUCAAAAAGUGUGAAAAAAAGUACUUCAAGACCCAACAUUUCAAUCAAAUGUGUAAGUGCAACAAACUUAGUUUCAAACCAAUGCAAAAUGUGUUUAAAACGACCUAACAAUCCUUAAGUGUAAGCUCGUAACUCACAAACUAACAAAAAAAUCAAAAUGCGUGAAAAAUGCACUUUGAGACCUAACAUGGCAACCAAGUAUGCAAGUGAAACAAACUUAGUCUUAAACAAAUCUAAAAAAUUUCAAACCGUGUUUAAGUAUCACUUGAACUUUCAGAACGACCUAAGAAUGUUUAUUUGUAAGUUCGUCACUCAUAACCUACCAAAAAGUUCAAGAAGUAUGGAAAAAAAGGAAACACUACACGACCCAAAAUGGCAACCAAGUGCGCAACUGCAACAAAAUUAGUUCCAAACCAACCUAAAAAGUGGUCAAGGCGUGUCUAAGUAUCACUUGGACUUUCAAAACAACCUAACAAAAUUUAAGUGUAAGUUGGUAACCCAUAGCCUACCAAAAAGUUCAAAAAGUGUGAAAACGGCACUUCAAGACCGAAAAUGGCAACCAAUUGGAUAAGGUCAACAAACUUAGUUUCAAACCAACCUAAACCGAGUUAAAAACGUGUCUAAGUAUCACUUGAACUUUUAAAACGACCUAAAACAGCUUACGUGUAGGUUCGUAACUCAUAACCUACGAAAAAAGUUCAAAUAUUGUGCAAAAAGCACUACAAGACCCAAAAUGGCAACCAAGUGUGUAAGUGCAACAAACUUAGUUCAAACCAACCUAAAAUGUGCUCAAAACGUGUCUAGGUAUUACUUGAGUUUUCAAAACGACCUAGCAAAUCCUAAGUGUAAGUUUGAAACUCAUAAUCUACCAAAAAGGUUGAAAAAAGCAUUUCAAGACCAAAAAUGACAACCAAGUGCAACAAACUCAAUCUAACCUAAAAUGUAUUCAAAACGUGUGUACGUAUCACUUAAACUUUCAAAACGACCAAACAAUGCUUAAGUGUAAGUUUGUAACUCACAACCUACCAAAAUUUCAAAAAGUGUAAAAAAAGCACUUCAAGACCCAAAACGGCAACGAAGUAUGUAAGUGCAACGGACUUAGUUUCAAGCCAUCCUAAAAAGAGUGCAAAACGUGUCUAAGAUUUCAAACCGACCAAACAAUACUCAAGCGUAAGUUCGUAACUCACAACCUAAAAAAAUUUCAAAAAGUGUGAAAAAAAGUACUUCAAGACCCAACAUUUCAAUCAAAUGUGUAAGUGCAACAAACUUAGUUUCAAACCAAUGCAAAAUGUGUUUAAAACGACCUAACAAUCCUUAAGUGUAAGCUCGUAACUCACAAACUAACAAAAAAAUCAAAAUGCGUGAAAAAUGCACUUUGAGACCUAACAUGGCAACCAAGUAUGCAAGUGAAACAAACUUAGUCUUAAACAAAUCUACCAAAAUUUCAAAAAGUAUGAAAAAAGUACUUCAAGACCCAACAUGUCAAUCAAAUUUGUGUAAAACUUAGUUUCAAACCAACCUAAAACGAGUUCAAAACGUGUCUAAGUUUCACUUGAACUUUCAAAACGACCUAACAAAUAUUCAAUACAAGUUCAUAAGUCAUAACCUAGAAAAAAGUUCAAAAUAUUUGAAAAAGACACUCCAAAACCCAAAAUGUCAAGUGUGUAAGUGCAACGAACUUAGUUCUAUACAAACCUAACAAGUAUUCAAAAGACGUAUUAGUUUUCGAACACCCUAGCAACGCUUAAGUGUAAGUUUAUAACUCAUAACUUACCAAAAAUUUCAAAAAGUGUGAAAAAAAAUCUUUCAAGACUCAAAAUGGAAACCAUGGCUGUAUGCAAAACUAACUUAGUUUGUAACAACCUAAAAGGUGUUCAAAAAAUGUUUUAAGUAUCACUCGAACUUUAAAAACGACCUAAUAAUGCUUUAGUGUUACUUCAUAACUCAUAACCUACCAAAAAGUUCAAAAAAUGUAGAAAAAGCACUCCAAAAUCCAAAAUGGCAACCAAGUGUGUAAGUGCAACAAGCUUAGUCUCAACUUUAAAAUUAGUGCGAGUUGGGAAAUGUAUUAACUCAAGCAUGAUGUACAAACUUGAAACGACUUAAAUAUUUAUUCACCAUCACAUAAAAACAGUAAUUAAAUAUAGAUAACAUGUGUAAAUAAAGGGAGAAUCACCUUUCUAAGCAGUAACUUUAGAGUAAGACCGAAACACCAUCCUCCUACUUGUAAAUCUGCUCGAUUGUCUACUUUGUUCUACACUCGUCAUUUCACCGUCUCAGGCCAUCCAUUGAAUUGGCCACCCAGCCUUGGCAUACAAGAGUAUGUCUCAGCCUGUUAACAAAUACCACUAAAACUAAGCAAGACAAAGAAAAAAGUUUUCAAAAAAUUACCUAACUUUUAGGUCUUCAUGUGACCUUUAAGUUCUUCUGUCUUCUCCUUCAACUCUUUGACAGAUUGCUGAAAUUAUGUGUUUCUGAAAUGUUUACCAGAACAUGAAAGAUUCAUUACGAACAUAAAUACCAUGAAUACAGAGCAUGAAGAAAUAGUAAAACAGUCAAUACAAGAAGAAAAAAGUUCACUUGAAAACGACCUAAAACAGUAUCACUUGAACAAAAUGUGUCUAAGUAUCACUUGAACUUUCAAAACGACCUAAAACAGCUUACGUGUAGGUUCGUAACUCAUAACUACGAAAAAGUUCAAAUAGAAUGAAAAAGCACUACAAGACCCAAAAUGGUAACCAAGUGUGUAAGUGCAACAAACUUAGUUCAAACCAACCUAAAACGUGCUCAAAACGUGUCUAGGUAUUACUUGAGUUUUCAAAACGACCUAGCAAAUCCUAAAUGUAGGUUGUAACUCAUAAUCUACCAAAAAGGUUGAAAAAAGCAUUUCAAGACAAAAAAUGACAACCAAGUGCAACAAACUCAAUCUAACCUAAAAUGUAUUCAAAACGUGUGUACGUAUCACUUAAACUUUCAAAACGACCAAACAAUGCUUAAGUGUAAGUUUGUAACUCACAACCUACCAAAAUUUCAAAAAGUGUAAAAAAGCACUUCAAGACCAAAACGGCAACGAAGUAUGUAAGUGCAACGGACUUAGUUUCAAGCCAUCCUAAAAGAGUGCAAAACUGUCUAAGAUUUCAAACCGACCAAACAAUACUCAAGCGUAAGUUCGUAACUCACAACCUAAAAAAAUUUCAAAAAGUGUGAAAAAAAGUACUUCAAGACCCAACAUUUCAAUCAAAUGUGUAAGUGCAACAAACUUAGUUUUCAAACCAAUGCAAAAUGUGUUUAAAACGACCUAACAAUCCUUAAGUGUAAGCUCGUAACUCACAAACUAACAAAAAAAUCAAAAUGCGUGAAAAAUGCACUUUGAGACCUAACAUGGCAACCAAGUAUGCAAGUGAAACAAACUUAGUCUUAAACAAAUCUAAAAAAAUUUCAAACCGUGUUUAAGUAUCACUUGAACUUUCAGAACGACCUAAGAAUGUUUAUUUGUAAGUUCGUCACUCAUAACCUACACAAAAGUUCAAGAAGUAUGGAAAAAAAGGAAACACUACACGACCCAAAAUGGCAACCAAGUGCGCAACUGCAACAAAAAUAGUUCCAAACCAACCUAAAAAGUGGUCAAGGCGUGUCUAAGUAUCACUUGGACUUUCAAAACAACCUAACAAAAUUUAAGUGUAAGUUGGUAACCCAUAGCCUACCAAAAAGUUUAAAAAGUGUGAAAACGGCACUUCAAGACCGAAAAUGGCAACCAAUUGGAUAAGGUCAACAAACUUAGUUUCAAACCAACCUAAACGAGUUAAAACGUGUCUAAGUAUCACUUGAACUUUUUAAAAUGUCCUAAAACAGCUUACGUGUAGGUUCGUAACUCAUAACCUACGAAAAAAGUUCAAAUAUUGUGCAAAAAGCACUACAAGACCCAAAAUGGCAACCAAGUGUGUAAGUGCAACAAACUUAGUUCAAACCAACCUAAAAUGUGCUCAAAACGUGUCUAGGUAUUACUUGAGUUUUCAAAACGACCUAACAAAUCCUAAGUGUAAGUUUGAAACUCAUAAUCUACCAAAAAGGUUGAAAAAAGCAUUUCAAGACCAAAAAUGACAACCAAGUGCAACAAACUCAAUCUAACCUAAAAUGUAUUCAAAACGUGUGUACGUAUCACUUGAAUUUUCAAAACGACCCAGCAAUGCUUAAGUGUAAGUUUGUAACUCACAACCUACCAAAAUUUCAAAAAGUGUGAAAAAAGUACUUCAAGACCCAACAUGUCAAUCAAAUGUGUUUAAAACUUAGUGUCAAACCAACCUAAAAAACAUAACACAUCACACUAAAAAACAUAAGUGUAAAGUGAAAGUUAUGAACAGAAGCAACUCUUUUUACCCUUGAAAACAAAACACAUCACACUAAAAAACAUAAACAUCACUUUAACCCAACAGAAGCAACUCUUUUUACCCUUGCACUCACUAUCACAUUACUAUCAUGUUUGUCAACUGUCAAACUAACUCUUUUAAGUUAUUUCGUGUGACUACAAAGUUAUGAACACCAUAAUCUUAAUUAAAACCUUUUAAUAAAUAAAUGCGAAGUUACUACUCAAGAAUGGCAAGGAAUUCAAAAACAUGACAGCUAUCCUAUUGGUUGAAAAUGAGAAAAAAAAGUUAGCCAGACAACCUGUUUGGACUACAAGCAGCAGAUAUGAUUCCUCAAUAUUUGACCAUUCACUCUCCUCUCUACAAGUCUUCAAGCACAUGAUGUUGCCUACUUUCAGAUGAGCAACAUCAUUCCGAUCUUAACAGUCAGAAGAGCAAAUCAAAUCAAUCCUAGCAUAUUCACAAAUCACAACUAAAAAGUACAAAAACAUUACAAAAUAAAAACAUGCAGCGAUAUCAACAAGCAUUGAAUAAAUAAUUAGCCAAUUAAUUGACAUUACAAAAUAAAUAAAGCAUUCUGAUAUUUUCUUAUUUGUGCGCAGCCGAUGUUCACAAAACAGCGUUUCGAACCCACGAGGGCCCUAUGAAUUCCUUGUGAUGCUGUUUGGGUUGAACGCUCGGCAACAUUCCAAUCAAUCAUGAGUGAUGUUCUUCGCCAUAUUUACGCAAGUUUGUUUUGGUUUUCUUUGAUGACAUCUUAAUUUACAGCAAGUCCUUGGACGAGCAUUUGCACCAAUUGGCAAUGGUUUUGGAAACUCUAGUAGCUCAUCAACUGGUAGCCAACUUUAAAAAAUGCCAAUUUGCGGUUGACAAAAUUGAAUACUUGGGCCAUGUUAUUUCUUCAGAGGGGGUGGCAGCGGAUCCAACAAAAAUAGAAGCGAUGGUUAAAUGGCCAGCACCAAGAACGUGAAGGAGCUAGGUGGUUUUUUGGGGCUAACGGGGUAUUAUCGGAAAUUCGUUGCAAACUACGGUUCUAUUUGCUGCCCCCUUGACACAACUGUUAAGGUAACUUUAAGUGGAUGAGACGACCGAGAACGCAUUUCAGCAGUUAAAAGUCAGCAAUGAUGUCUGUCCGAUGCUAGGUAUUCCUGAUUUUUCACAAAGUUUUGUGCCAGAAACUGAUUUGGGUGUGGGUAUUGGGGCUGUCCUAAUGCAAAAUCAACGACCAGUGGCCUUUUUCAGUCAAGCUUUACCUAUUACCCAUAGGUUUAAGGCUGUUUAUGAACGGGAGCUUAUGGCAAUAGUGCUGGCUGUUCAAAAAUGACCAUAUCUAUUGGUAAGCCUUUUUGUGGUGCGUACAGAUCAGAAAAGUUUGAAGUUUUUCUUGAACAACGGGCUAUCGGGGGAGAAUAUCAGAGAUGGAUCGCUAAACUAUUGGGGUAUGAUUUUGUGAUUGAGUACAAGAAAGGAUUGGAAAACAAAGCGGCCGAUGCCUUAUAGAGAUUACCACCGGUAUUUGAAUUGGGCCUCGUAAGUAUUGUGGGCGGGCUAAACCUUCGUUUUCAUCGAUCAAGUGGCUGGAAAUGAAUCUCUUAACAAUAUUCGAUUGUCCUUGAUAAAUGGACAGCCAGCUCCAGAUGGAUAUUUGCUACAAGGAGGAGGAUUCACCUAAUAUUACUUUAUAUUUGAGUUCCAUAACAGCCCGAUAGGGGGACAUCAUGGUGCAUUGAAAACAUAUCAAAGGCUAGCAAGGGAGGUCUAUUGAGGUAUAGCCCAUAUCCGCACCUAUGUUGCUGAAUGUUCCGUGUGUCAGCAAGCCAAAUACUUGUCUUUAACUCCGGCUGGUUUCCUUCAAGCAUUACCCAUUCCGGACCGUGUGUGGGAAGAUAUUAGUAUGGAUUUUAUUGAGGGCCUCCACAAAUCCGAGCGUUAUGAUGUUAUAUUGGUAGUUGCGGAUCGUCUUUCCAAGUAUGCACAUUUCAUUCCCUUGAAACAUCCAUUUGGUGCAAAAGUGGUUGUUGCUGCUGUUUUUAUGCGAGAGAUUAUUCGUUUGCAUGGAUGCCCCCGAAGUAUAGUGUCGGAUCGUGAUCGUAUUUUCACAAGUCUAUUCUGGGAAGAGUUGUGGAGGUUGUUGGAAACUCAGUUGAGACGAAGCACCACUUACCACCCCCAAACGGAUGGUCAAACAGAAGUUGUCAAUCGAGGGGUGGAGACGUAUCUACGGUGUUUUGCUAUGAACACACCUAAACAGUGGGUUAAAUGGCUAGCUUGGGUUGAAUUGAGCUAUAAUACAACAGUCCGUACAGCCAUAUUGAUGACCCCCUUCGAGGCCCUCUAUGGGCGACCCCCUCUAUAUUACCGUAUGUGAAGGGCUCGAGUCGGUGUGAAUGAAGUAGACCAUUUGAUGAAAGAAAGAGAUGAAAUUUUGGGUGUUUUGAAGGCCAAUUUACUGAAAGCACAGCAGCGAAUGGUCAAAUAUGCUAAUGCUAAAAGACAGGAGGUUCUGUUUAAGGUUCAUGAUUGGGUUUAUGUGAAGUUACGCCCUUACCAACAGUCCUCUCUCAGCCGUUUUAAGCACCCCAAAUUGGCCCCAAGAUUCAUUGGUCCAUUUAUGAUCGUGGCACGAAUUGGUUUCGUUGCAUACCGUUUGGCCUUUCCCAAGGAAUCGCUUAUACACCCAUCUUUCAUGUUUCUGUUCUUCGCAAGGUGUGAGUUCAAACAGGCCAUUAUUCCCAAUUCCAAAAGAUUUGGCUGCUGAUUUGUCUAUGCAAGUGUCUCCAGUAGAAGUAUUGGGAGUUCGCAAAACAAUAGAAAAGGAGGACAACUUAGAAGUUUUGAUCCGUUGGAGUGAGGGGACACUUGAAAGUGCAACAUGGGAACAAGCUGCUCUUAUUCAAGAACAGUUUCCUGAAUUCCACCUUGAGGACAAGGUGGCUCUUUGGGGGGCGGAUAAUGAUAGACCUCCCAUAGUAAACGUGUAUUCCCGUAGAGACAAGAAUAGGAAGAAGAAAGAAUGAUUGAGAGUUAGUUGGUAUUUUUCUAUUUGUGUGGGCCCUUAGGAAUGUGUUUGUUAGAGUGGGGCCAAGUAUUUUGUUAUUUCUCUGAGCAAUUACUUAAGUGUCUUGAGUGGGAGGGUAUGGGUAUCUUUUUGGACAUAUGAUGGAAUUAAAGAGCUCACCUGUCUUAAAAUAACGAUCAGGCAUCUGAUGUCCUUUAACGAUAGUGGCUUCUCCUGCUCAUAAAACUCCUCAUUGUCAAUUAUUAUGAGCAUGUGCCUGAUUGAUAAGGAAAGAAGUGAUCAGGACAUGCCGAAUCUUAUAACAUACCAUAUAAUUAUAUAACAUCAGAUGAGGAAUUAAAGCGAAAUUCAAAAGUAGAGGAACAGGAAUAAAGAAGAUAAUCUUACUUGUACACAGGACAAAAAACAGCCAAAGGUAAUAGCCAACCAGGUGCAUCUCCUGAUAAAUAUGCCAAUUUCUCUGAAAAGGAUGACCAUUUUUUAUUCUCGUGGCACUUUUUAAUAAAACUCCAGAGUACUGGAACUAACUCCAUUCUGUAUGCUAGAAUAGUCAUAAUUUUUUAUGUCCCACACCAAGUUGUACUUAAAAAGAUCUUUUCAAAAAAAAUCUAUAGAGUUUUUUUUUCUUUUUUAAAUGAAGUACAUGCAUGUUAUGUUUCUCGUUAUUGAGAAAACAUGACCUUUAAACCAUUACUAACGCCAUUAUAUCCAAACAGCAAGGUACACAAACCUAGUAGAGGAUGACACAUGCAACUUUGUCCAUUGGGUAGAGAGAGGUGUGAAAUGUGAAUGUCCGCCACAGUAAAGAGUAAGAAUUUGAGAGGAGAAACUCCAAUUGGGAUGUGGGCAACAACAUGGCUUCUUACCAACAUGAGAACUCAAAAGAGACAGCAGAUGUUCUAGAGAAGCCAAUGAACUCUUGGAAUGUGAAUCUGCACUUUCCUGCAAUAGUUUGAGUGUGAAUUAGUUCUCUGAAAACACCUGCAGAGGAUAAUCCACGGCAAAACAGAAUGUCUAUAAAAAAAACCACUUGCAAGUAGAAAAAAAAGGAAGUACAUUUAUACCUUCCCUGUCAAAGUGAUAUCCCUAAUCAACGCAUAUGCAUUUCUUUCCAGGAAGUAACCAACAAUUUUACAAACCCAUGGGAGUUCAGGUUGUAAUAAGAAAAUAAUUGUGUCUAACAAUAGAGUUGCAGGUGUGUUAGAGUUCACAGGUGCAGCCAAAAGUUGAUUCCUCAAUUGGUUUCUAUCAAGAACAACAUCAAGUAAGAAUAAUUCAGAGGAAAAAUAAAGACAACUUAUCAUAUAUAUAAAUAAGAUUAGUCUGAAUUCGUUAGCUGAAGGUAAAAAAACCUUUAUGUCAAUUAUAUAUAUCUGAACAAAAUCUAAGAAAUAUAUCACUUUUCAACAAAAGAAAUAUAUCAUAUACAAUUAAAGGAUCAUAGCAUAGAAAGCCAACAAAAUCAACAAUGAUAGAUCAAACAUCUGUUUUUCCAUUCAAAACGUUAAAAAGGAUAAGUUUUUAAUAAGGAAUGUUGAAAUGGAAAAAACUAAUUACCUAUUAUGGUGUACAGUCUGGAUGCAAGCAUAUGCAAAUUUCUUAACUCUCUAAUCCACUAAGGCCUUGUUAAGUACAUAAUCCUUGCUAGCGAAAAUGCUCAACAUAUCCCCUAUAUAUGUAAGAGAGAGAAAGGUAAGAAAGUACUAACACUAAGAGAUAUGUGCUAUCAAUUAGAACACUUUAAGAUGAUAUUAUCAAUUAGAAAACCAAGCAUAAAGCAACAUAAGGGAAAAUAACAAACAAGGGCACCACAGUGGUUCAGAAACCAAUCAAUAUUUUCAUUUGUCACUUUUAUAAUAAUUUCCCAAGGGAAAAUCCUCAUAACAAGCCUCGUUUUCCCCCUACUAUGGAACGGGGAGGAUUCCUCCUCUUUUCAAAGCCCUCGUCAAACUCAAUGCUAAGUUUGACUGCUCCCUUCGGAGUGACAACAAGCCUUGUUUUCCCCCUAAUGUGGAUCGGGGAGGAUUCCUCCUCUUUUCAAAGCCCUCAUCAAACUCGAUGCUAAGUUUAGAACGCUAAGAGUAGGUGGUUUGGUUUUGGUUAGGCCAAAAGUAAAGUUUUCUGCUAAAAGCUCUGAUAGUUAGGGAACUCAACACAUUCUACUUGACCGAACCAAGUUGGAUCUUUGUUUUUUUAUGGGAUUUUUCUAAUGUAUAUUGCAUGUGUUGUUUGUUUUUUAUAGCUCUUGAUUGUCUAACCUUUUUACGUUUUGCAUUUGCAGUCUCUCUUUUGUUUCUUUGGUAUGCAAUGUGGUAACAAGGUCUUGCUAGAACCGGUGGGCUAACCUUUCUAUGGUUCUAAACUUAGUUUCUAAGUUUGACUGCUCCCUUCGGAGUGACAACAAGCCUCGUUUUCCCCCUACUAUGGAACGGGGAGGAUUCCUCCUCUUUUCAAAGCCCUCGUCAAACUCAAUGCUAAGUUUGACUGCUCCCUUCGGAGUGACAACAAGCCUUGUUUUCCCCCUAAUGUGGAUCGGGGAGGAUUCCUCCUCUUUUCAAAGCCCUCAUCAAACUCGAUGCUAAGUUUAGAACGCUAAGAGUAGGUGGUUUGGUUUUGGUUAGGCCAAAAGUAAAGUUUUCUGCUAAAAGCUCUGAUAGUUAGGGAACUCAACACAUUCUACUUGACCGAACCAAGUUGGCUCUUUGUUUUUUUAUGGGAUUUUUCUAAUGUAUAUUGCAUGUGUUGUUUGUUUUUUUAUAGCUCUUGAUUGUCUAACCUUUUUACGUUUUGCAUUUGCAGUCUCUCUUUUGUUUCUUUGGUAUGCAAUGUGGUAACAAGGUCUUGCUAGAACCGGUGGGCUAACCUUUCUAUGGUUCUAAACUUAGUUUCUAAGUUUGACUGCUCCCUUCGGAGUGACAACAAGCCUCGUUUUCCCCCUACUAUGGAACGGGGAGGAUUCCUCCUCUUUUCAAAGCCCUCGUCAAACUCAAUGCUAAGUUUGACUGCUCCCUUCGGAGUGACAACAAGCCUUGUUUUCCCCCUAAUGUGGAUCGGGGAGGAUUCCUCCUCUUUUCAAAGCCCUCAUCAAACUCGAUGCUAAGUUUAGAACGCUAAGAGUAGGUGGUUUGGUUUUGGUUAGGCCAAAAGUAAAGUUUUCUGCUAAAAGCUCUGAUAGUUAGGGAACUCAACACAUUCUACUUGACCGAACCAAGUUGGCUCUUUGUUUUUUUAUGGGAUUUUUCUAAUGUAUAUUGCAUGUUUGUUUGUUUUUUUAUAGCUCUUGAUUGUCUCACCUUUUUACGUUUUGCAUUUGCAAGUCUCUCUUUGUUUUUUUGGUAUGCAAUGUGGUAACAAGGUCUUGCUAGAACCGGUGGGCUAACCUUUCUAUGGUUCUAAACUUAGUUUCUAAGUUUGACUGCUCCCUUCGGAGUGACAACAAGCCUCGUUUUCCCCCUACUAUGGAACGGGGAGGAUUCCUCCUCUUUUCAAAGCCCUCGUCAAACUCAAUGCUAAGUUUGACUGCUCCCUUCGGAGUGACAACAAGCCUUGUUUUCCCCCUAAUGUGGAUCGGGGAGGAUUCCUCCUCUUUUCAAAGCCCUCAUCAAACUCGAUGCUAAGUUUAGAACGCUAAGAGUAGGUGGUUUGGUUUUGGUUAGGCCAAAAGUAAAGUUUUCUGCUAAAAGCUCUGAUAGUUAGGGAACUCAACACAUUCUACUUGACCGAACCAAGUUGGAUCUUUGUUUUUUUAUGGGAUUUUUCUAAUGUAUAUUGCAUGUGUUGUUUGUUUUUUUAUAGCUCUUGAUUGUCUAACCUUUUUACGUUUUGCAUUUGCAGUCUCUCUUUUGUUUCUUUGGUAUGCAAUGUGGUAACAAGGUCUUGCUAGAACCGGUGGGCUAACCUUUCUAUGGUUCUAAACUUAGUUUCUAAGUUUGACUGCUCCCUUCGGAGUGACAACAAGCCUCGUUUUCCCCCUACUAUGGAACGGGGAGGAUUCCUCCUCUUUUCAAAGCCCUCGUCAAACUCAAUGCUAAGUUUGACUGCUCCCUUCGGAGUGACAACAAGCCUUGUUUUCCCCCUAAUGUGGAUCGGGGAGGAUUCCUCCUCUUUUCAAAGCCCUCAUCAAACUCGAUGCUAAGUUUAGAACGCUAAGAGUAGGUGGUUUGGUUUUGGUUAGGCCAAAAGUAAAGUUUUCUGCUAAAAGCUCUGAUAGUUAGGGAACUCAACACAUUCUACUUGACCGAACCAAGUUGGAUCUUUGCUUUUUUAUGGGAUUUUUCUAAUGUAUAUUGCAUGUGUUGUUUGUUUUUUUAUAGCUCUGAUUGUCUAACCUUUUUACGUUUUGCAUUUGCAUGUCUCUCUUUUGUUUCUUUGGUAUGCAAUGUGGUAACAAGGUCUUGCUAGAACCGGUGGGCUAACCUUUCUAUGGUUCUAAACUUAGUUUCUAAGUUUGACUGCUCCCUUCGGAGUGACAACAAGCCUCGUUUUCCCCCUACUAUGGAACGGGGAGGAUUCCUCCUCUUUUCAAAGCCCUCGUCAAACUCAAUGCUAAGUUUGACUGCUCCCUUCGGAGUGACAACAAGCCUUGUUUUCCCCCUAAUGUGGAUCGGGGAGGAUUCCUCCUCUUUUCAAAGCCCUCAUCAAACUCGAUGCUAAGUUUAGAACGCUAAGAGUAGGUGGUUUGGUUUUGGUUAGGCCAAAAGUAAAGUUUUCUGCUAAAAGCUCUGAUAGUUAGGGAACUCAACACAUUCUACUUGACCGAACCAAGUUGGAUCUUUGUUUUUUUAUGGGAUUUUUCUAAUGUAUAUUGCAUGUGUUGUUUGUUUUUUUAUAGCUCUUGAUUGUCUAACCUUUUUACGUUUUGCAUUUGCAGUCUCUCUUUUGUUUCUUUGGUAUGCAAUGUGGUAACAAGGUCUUGCUAGAACCGGUGGGCUAACCUUUCUAUGGUUCUAAACUUAGUUUCUAAGUUUGACUGCUCCCUUCGGAGUGACAACAAGCCUCGUUUUCCCCCUACUAUGGAACGGGAGGAUUCCUCCUCUUUUCAAAGCCCUCGUCAAACUCAAUGCUAAGUUUGACUGCUCCCUUCGGAGUGACAACAAGCCUUGUUUUCCCCCUAAUGUGGAUCGGGGAGGAUUCCUCCUCUUUUCAAAGCCCUCAUCAAACUCGAUGCUAAGUUUAGAACGCUAAGAGUAGGUGGUUUGGUUUUGGUUAGGCCAAAAGUAAAGUUUUCUGCUAAAAGCUCUGAUAGUUAGGGAACUCAACACAUUCUACUUGACCGAACCAAGUUGGAUCUUUGUUUUUUAUGGGAUUUUUCUAAUGUAUAUUACAUGUGUUGUUUGUUUUUUUAUAGCUCUUGAUUGUCUAACCUUUUUCCGUUUUGCAUUUGCAAGUCUCUCUUUUGUUUCUUGGUAUGCAAUGUGGUAACAAGGUCUUGCUAGAACCGGUGGGCUAACCUUUCUAUGGUUCUAAACUUAGUUUCUAAGUUUGACUGCUCCCUUCGGAGUGACAACAAGCCUCGUUUUCCCCCUACUAUGGAACGGGGAGGAUUCCUCCUCUUUUCAAAGCCCUCGUCAAACUCAAUGCUAAGUUUGACUGCUCCCUUCGGAGUGACAACAAGCCUUGUUUUCCCCCUAAUGUGGAUCGGGGAGGAUUCCUCCUCUUUUCAAAGCCCUCAUCAAACUCGAUGCUAAGUUUAGAACGCUAAGAGUAGGUGGUUUGGUUUUGGUUAGGCCAAAAGUAAAGUUUUCUGCUAAAAGCUCUGAUAGUUAGGGAACUCAACACAUUCUACUUGACCGAACCAAGUUGGAUCUUUGCUUUUUUAUGGGAUUUUUCUAAUGUAUAUUGCAUGUGUUGUUUGUUUUUUUAUAGCUCUUGAUUGUCUAACCUUUUUACGUUUUGCAUUUGCAGUCUCUCUUUUGUUUCUUUGGUAUGCAAUGUGGUAACAAGGUCUUGCUAGAACCGGUGGGCUAACCUUUCUAUGGUUCUAAACUUAGUUUCUAAGUUUGACUGCUCCCUUCGGAGGGACAACAAGCCUCGUUUUCCCCCUACUAUGGAACGGGGAGGAUUCCUCCUCUUUUCAAAGCCCUCGUCAAACUAAAUGCUAAGUUUGACUGCUCCCUUCGGAGUGACAACAAGCCUUGUUUUCCCCCUAAUGUGGAUCGGGGAGGAUUCCUCCUCUUUUCAAAGCCCUCAUCAAACUCGAUGCUAAGUUUAGAACGCUAAGAGUAGGUGGUUUGGUUUUGGUUAGGCCAAAAGUAAAGUUUUCUGCUAAAAGCUCUGAUAGUUAGGGAACUCAACACAUUCUACUUGACCGAACCAAGUUGGAUCUUUGCUUUUUUAUGGGAUUUUUCUAAUGUAUAUUGCAUGUGUUGUUUGUUUUUUUAUAGCUCUUGAUUGUCUAACCUUUUUACGUUUUGCAUUUGCAGUCUCUCUUUUGUUUCUUUGGUAUGCAAUGUGGUAACAAGGUCUUGCUAGAACCGGUGGGCUAACCUUUCUAUGGUUCUAAACUUAGUUUCUAAGUUUGACUGCUCCCUUCGGAGUGACAACAAGCCUCGUUUUCCCCUACUAUGGAACGGGGAGGAUUCCUCCUCUUUUCAAAGCCCUCGUCAAACUCAAUGCUAAGUUUGACUGCUCCCUUCGGAGUGACAACAAGCCUUGUUUUCCCCCUAAUGUGGAUCGGGGAGGAUUCCUCCUCUUUUCAAAGCCCUCAUCAAACUCGAUGCUAAGUUUAGAACGCUAAGAGUAGGUGGUUUGGUUUUGGUUAGGCCAAAAGUAAAGUUUUCUGCUAAAAGCUCUGAUAGUUAGGGAACUCAACACAUUCUACUUGACCGAACCAAGUUGGAUCUUUGCUUUUUUAUGGGAUUUUUCUAAUGUAUAUUGCAUGUGUUGUUUGUUUUUUUAUAGCUCUUGAUUGUCUAACCUUUUUACGUUUUGCAUUUGCAAGUCUCUCUUUUGUUUCUUUGGUAUGCAAUGUGGUAACAAGGUCUUGCUAGAACCGGUGGGCUAACCUUUCUAUGGUUCUAAACUUAGUUUCUAAGUUUGACUGCUCCCUUCGGAGUGACAACAAGCCUCGUUUUCCCCCUACUAUGGAACGGGAGGAUUCCUCCUCUUUUCAAAGCCCUCGUCAAACUCAAUGCUAAGUUUGACUGCUCCCUUCGGAGUGACAACAAGCCUUGUUUUCCCCCUAAUGUGGAUCGGGGAGGAUUCCUCCUCUUUUCAAAGCCCUCAUCAAACUCGAUGCUAAGUUUAGAACGCUAAGAGUAGGUGGUUUGGUUUUGGUUAGGCCAAAAGUAAAGUUUUCUGCUAAAAGCUCUGAUAGUUAGGGAACUCAACACAUUCUACUUGACCGAACCAAGUUGGAUCUUUGCUUUUUUAUGGGAUUUUUCUAAUGUAUAUUGCAUGUGUGUUUGUUUUUUUAUAGCUCUUGAUUGUCUAACCUUUUUACGUUUUGCAUUUGCAGUCUCUUUUUGUUUCUUUGGUAUGCAAUGUGGUAACAAGGUCUUGCUAGAACCGGUGGGCUAACCUUUCUAUGGUUCUAAACUUAGUUUCUAAGUUUGACUGCUCCCUUCGGAGUGACAACAAGCCUCGUUUUCCCCCUACUAUGGAACGGGGAGGAUUCCUCCUCUUUUCAAAGCCCUCGUCAAACUCAAUGCUAAGUUUGACUGCUCCCUUCGGAGUGACAACAAGCCUUGUUUUCCCCCUAAUGUGGAUCGGGGAGGAUUCCUCCUCUUUUCAAAGCCCUCAUCAAACUCGAUGCUAAGUUUAGAACGCUAAGAGUAGGUGGUUUGGUUUUGGUUAGGCCAAAAGUAAAGUUUUCUGCUAAAAGCUCUGAUAGUUAGGGAACUCAACACAUUCUACUUGACCGAACCAAGUUGCUCUUUGUUUUUUAUGGGAUUUUUCUAAUGUAUAUUGCAUGUGUGUUGUUUGUUUUUUUAUAGCUCUUGAUUGUCUAACCUUUUUACGUUUUGCAUUUGCAGUCUCUCUUUUGUUUCUUUGGUAUGCAAUGUGGUAACAAGGUCUUGCUAGAACCGGUGGGCUAACCUUUCUAUGGUUCUAAACUUAGUUUCUAAGUUUGACUGCUCCCUUCGGAGUGACAACAAGCCUCGUUUUCCCCCUACUAUGGAACGGGAGGAUUCCUCCUCUUUUCAAAGCCCUCGUCAAACUCAAUGCUAAGUUUGACUGCUCCCUUCGGAGUGACAACAAGCCUUGUUUUCCCCCUAAUGUGGAUCGGGGAGGAUUCCUCCUCUUUUCAAAGCCCUCAUCAAACUCGAUGCUAAGUUUAGAACGCUAAGAGUAGGUGGUUUGGUUUUGGUUAGGCCAAAAGUAAAGUUUUCUGCUAAAAGCUCUGAUAGUUAGGGAACUCAACACAUUCUACUUGACCGAACCAAGUUGGCUCUUUGCUUUUUUAUGGGAUUUUUCUAAUGUAUAUUGCAUGUGUUGUUUGUUUUUUUAUAGCUCUUGAUUGUCUAACCUUUUUACGUUUUGCAUUUGCAAGUCUCUCUUUUGUUUCUUUGGUAUGCAAUGUGGUAACAAGGUCUUGCUAGAACCGGUGGGCUAACCUUUCUAUGGUUCUAAACUUAGUUUCUAAGUUUGACUGCUCCCUUCGGAGUGACAACAAGCCUCGUUUUCCCCCUACUAUGGAACGGGGAGGAUUCCUCCUCUUUUCAAAGCCCUCGUCAAACUCAAUGCUAAGUUUGACUGCUCCCUUCGGAGUGACAACAAGCCUUGUUUUCCCCCUAAUGUGGAUCGGGGAGGAUUCCUCCUCUUUUCAAAGCCCUCAUCAAACUCGAUGCUAAGUUUAGAACGCUAAGAGUAGGUGGUUUGGUUUUGGUUAGGCCAAAAGUAAAGUUUUCUGCUAAAAGCUCUGAUAGUUAGGGAACUCAACACAUUCUACUUGACCGAACCAAGUUGGCUCUUUGUUUUUUUAUGGGAUUUUUCUAAUGUAUAUUGCAUGUGUUGUUUGUUUUUUUAUAGCUCUUGAUUGUCUAACCUUUUUACGUUUUGCAUUUGCAAGUCUCUCUUUUGUUUCUUUGGUAUGCAAUGUGGUAACAAGGUCUUGCUAGAACCGGUGGGCUAACCUUUCUAUGGUUCUAAACUUAGUUUCUAAGUUUGACUGCUCCUUCCUCGGAGUGACAACAAGCCUCGUUUUUCCCCCUACUAUGGAACGGGGAGGAUUCCUCCUCUUUUCAAAGCCCUCGUCAAACUCAAUGCUAAGUUUGACUGCUCCCUUCGGAGUGACAACAAGCCUUGUUUUCCCCCUAAUGUGGAUCGGGGAGGAUUCCUCCUCUUUUCAAAGCCCUCAUCAAACUCGAUGCUAAGUUUAGAACGCUAAGAGUAGGUGGUUUGGUUUUGGUUAGGCCAAAAGUAAAGUUUUCUGCUAAAAGCUCUGAUAGUUAGGGAACUCAACACAUUCUACUUGACCGAACCAAGUUGCUCUUUGUUUUUUAUGGGAUUUUUCUAAUGUAUAUUGCAUGUGUUGUUUGUUUUUUUAUAGCUCUUGAUUGUCUAACCUUUUUUACGUUUGCAUUUGCAGUCUCUCUUUUGUUUCUUUGGUAUGCAAUGUGGUAACAAGGUCUUGCUAGAACCGGUGGGCUAACCUUUCUAUGGUUCUAAACUUAGUUUCUAAGUUUGACUGCUCCCUUCGGAGUGACAACAAGCCUCGUUUUCCCCCUACUAUGGAACGGGGAGGAUUCCUCCUCUUUUCAAAGCCCUCGUCAAACUCAAUGCUAAGUUUGACUGCUCCCUUCGGAGUGACAACAAGCCUUGUUUUCCCCCUAAUGUGGAUCGGGGAGGAUUCCUCCUCUUUCAAAGCCCUCAUCAAACUCGAUGCUAAGUUUAGAACGCUAAGAGUAGGUGGUUUGGUUUUGGUUAGGCCAAAAGUAAAGUUUUCUGCUAAAAGCUCUGAUAGUUAGGGAACUCAACACAUUCUACUUGACCGAACCAAGUUGGCUCUUUGUUUUUUUAUGGGAUUUUUCUAAUGUAUAUUGCAUGUGUUGUUUGUUUUUUUUAUAGCUCUUGAUUGUCUAACCUUUUUACGUUUUGCAUUUGCAGUCUCUCUUUGUUUCUUUGGUAUGCAAUGUGGUAACAAGGUCUUGCUAGAACCGGUGGGCUAACCUUUCUAUGGUUCUAAACUUAGUUUCUAAGUUUGACUGCUCCCUUCGGAGUGACAACAAGCCUCGUUUUCCCCCUACUAUGGAACGGGGAGGAUUCCUCCUCUUUUCAAAGCCCUCGUCAAACUCAAUGCUAAGUUUGACUGCUCCCUUCGGAGUGACAACAAGCCUUGUUUUCCCCCUAAUGUGGAUCGGGGAGGAUUCCUCCUCUUUUCAAAGCCCUCAUCAAACUCGAUGCUAAGUUUAGAACGCUAAGAGUAGGUGGUUUGGUUUUGGUUAGGCCAAAAGUAAAGUUUUCUGCUAAAAGCUCUGAUAGUUAGGGAACUCAACACAUUCUAUCUUGACCGAACCAAGUUGGAUCUUUGUUUUUUAUGGAUUUUUCUAAUGUAUAUUGCAUGUGUUGUUUGUUUUUUUAUAGCUCUUGAUUGUCUAACCUUUUUACGUUUUGCAUUUGCAAGUCUCUCUUUUGUUUCUUUGGUAUGCAAUGUGGUAACAAGGUCUUGCUAGAACCGGUGGCUAACCUUUCUAUGGUUCUAAACUUAGUUUCUAAGUUUGACUGCUCCCUUCGGAGUGACAACAAGCCUCGUUUUCCCCCUACUAUGGAACGGGGAGGAUUCCUCCUCUUUUCAAAGCCCUCGUCAAACUCAAUGCUAAGUUUGACUGCUCCCUUCGGAGUGACAACAAGCCUUGUUUUCCCCCUAAUGUGGAUCGGGGAGGAUUCCUCCUCUUUUCAAAGCCCUCAUCAAACUCGAUGCUAAGUUUAGAACGCUAAGAGUAGGUGGUUUGGUUUUGGUUAGGCCAAAAGUAAAGUUUUCUGCUAAAAGCUUCUGAUAGUUAGGGAACUCAACACAUUCUACUUGACCGAACCAAGUUGGAUCUUUGUUUUUUUAUGGGAUUUUCUAAUGUAUAUUACAUGUGUUGUUUGUUUUUUUAUAGCUCUGAUUGUCUAACCUUUUUACUUUGCAUUUGCAUGUCUCUUUUUGUUUCUUUGGUAUGCAAUUGUGGUAACAAGGUCUUGCUAGACCGGUGGGCUAACCUUUCUUAUGGUUCUAAACUUAGUUUCUAAGUUUUGACUGCUCCCUUCGGAGUGACAACAAGCCUCGUUUUCCCCCUACUAUGGAACGGGGAGGAUUCCUCCUCUUUUCAAAGCCUCGUCAAACUCAAUGCUAAGUUUGACUGCUCCCUUCGGAGUGACAACAAGCCUUGUUUUCCCCCUAAUGUGGAUCGGGAGAUUCCUCCUCUUUUCAAAGCCCUCAUCAAACUCGAUGCUAAGUUUAGAACGCUAAGAGUAGGUGGUUUGGUUUUGGUUAGGCCAAAAGUAAAGUUUUCUGCUAAAAGCUCUGAUAGUUAGGGAACUCAACACUUCUACUUGACCGAACCAAGUUGGAUCUUUGCUUUUUUAUGGGAUUUUUCUAAUGUAUAUUGGUGUGUUGUUGUUUUUUAUGGUCUUGAUUGUCUAACCUUUUUAAGUUUUGCAUUUGCAUUCUCUCUUUUGUUUCUUUGGUAUGCAAUGUGGUAACAAGGUCUUGCUAGAACCGGUGCGGCUAACCUUUCUAUGGUUCUAAACUUAGUUUCUAAGUUUGACUGCUCCUUCGGAGUGACAACAAGCCUCGUUUUCCCCCUACUAUGGAACGGGGGAGGAUUCCUCCUCUUUUCAAAAGCCCUCGUCAAACUAAAUGCUAAGUUUGACUGCUCCCUUCGGAGUGACAACAAGCGUUGUUUUCCCCUAAUGUGGAUCGGGAGGAUUCCUCCUCUUUUUCAAAGCCCUCAUCAAACUCGAUGCUAAGUUUAGAACGCUAAGAGUAGGUGGUUUGGUUUUGGUUAGGCCAAAAGUAAAGUUUCUGCUAAAAGCUCUGAUAGUUAGGGAACUCAACACAUUCUACUUGACCGAACCAAGUUGGAUCUUUGCUUUUUAUGGAUUUUUCUAAUGUAUAUUGCAUGUGUUGUUUGUUUUUUAUAGCUCUUGAUUGUCUAACCUUUUUACGUUUUGCAUUUGCAUGUCUCUCUUUUUGUUUCUUUGGUAUGCAAUGUGGUAACAAGGUCUUGCUAGAACCGGUGGGCUAACCUUUCUAUGGUUCUAAACUUAGUUUCUAAGUUUGACUGCUCCCUUCGGAGUGACAACAAGCCUCGUUUUCCCCUACUAUGGAUACGGGGAGGAUUCCUCCUCUUUUCAAAGCCCUCGUCAAACUCAAUGCUAAGUUUGACUGCUCCCUUCGAGUGACAACAAGCCUUGUUUUCCCCCUAAUGUGGAUCGGGGAGGAUUCCUCCUCUUUCAAAGCCCUCAUCAAACUCGAUGCUAAGUUUAGAACGCUAAAGAGUAGGUGGUUUGUUUUGGUUAGGCCAAAAGUAAAGUUUUCUGCUAAAAGCUCUGAUAGUUAGGGACUCAACACAUUCUACUUGACCGAACCAAGUUGGAUCUUUGCUUUUUUAUGGGAUUUUUCUAAUGUAUAUUGCAUGUGUUAUUUGUUUUUUUAUAGCUCUUGAUUGUCUAACCUUUUUACGUUUUGCAUUUGCAAGUCUCUCUUUUGUUUCUUUGGUAUGCAAUGUGGUAACAAGGUCUUGCUAGAACCGGUGGGCUAACCCUUCUAUGGUUCUAAACUUAGUUUCUAAGUUUGACUGCUCCCUUCGGAGUGACAACAAGCCUUGUUUUCCCCCUAAUGUGGAUCGGGGAGGAUUCCUCCUCUUUUCAAAGCCCUCAUCAAACUCGAUGCUAAGUUUAGAACGCUAAGAGUAGGUGGUUUGGUUUUGGUUAGGCCAAAAGUAAAGUUUUCUGCUAAAAGCUCUGAUAGUUAGGGAACUCAACACAUUCUACUUGACCGAACCAAGUUGGCUCUUUUUUUUAUGGGAUUUUUCUAAUGUAUAUUGCAUGUGUUGUUUGUUUUUUUAUAGCUCUUGAUUGUCUCACCUUUUUACGUUUUGCAUUUGCAAGUCUCUCUUUUGUUUCUUUGGUAUGCAAUGUGGUAACAAGGUCUUGCUAGAACCGGUGGGCUAACCUUUCUAUGGUUCUAAACUUAGUUUCUAAGUUUGACUGCUCCCUUCGGAGUGACAACAAGCCUCGUUUUCCCCCUACUAUGGAACGGGGAGGAUUCCUCCUCUUUUCAAAGCCCUCGUCAAACUCAAUGCUAAGUUUGACUGCUCCCUUCGAAGUGACAACAAGCCUUGUUUUCCCCCUAAUGUGGAUCGGGGAGGACUCCUCCUCUUUUCAAAGCCCUCAUCAAACUCGAUGCUAUGUUUAGAACGCUAAGAGUAGAUAGUCUGGUUUUGGUUAGGCCAAAAGUGAAGUUUUCCCCCAUUUUUUAUGGGCUUUUUCUAAUGUAUAUUGGAUAUGUUGUUUGAUUUUUUUAUAGCUCUUGAUUGUCUUACUGUUUUAUGUUUUGCAUUGUCAAGUCUCUCUUUUCUUUCUUUGGUAUGCAAUGUGGUAACUAGGCCUUGCUAGAAUCGGUGGGCUAACCUUUCUAUGGUUCUACAUUUAGUUACUAAUUAAGUUUGAUUGCUCCCUUUGAAGUGACAAUAAGUUUUGUUAAUGUCGACCCUUUUCUAAAGGGAUUUAGUUCAUUGUGGCUAGACAAGAGGCUUCUAACUCAUGUUUGACAAGACAAAUUUGUUAAAACCAUCCCAGUUUCUAAAGAGAGCCUCCUAUCCUUUUUUACUCUAUCUAGGCUAGGUUUGGACUAAGUGCAUCAUAGGUAAGUCACGACAAAGCAACAAAGGAAGACAAAGCUAGAAAAGUAUCCAUGCACUUAUUUAUUAUACAUUCAAUCAAGCAUUCACAACACACAUACCAUUUUCUCAAUCAUGCAUUCACAUCUCAAUAAGAAAUAGCUAAAAGGAGCUUAAAACAAAAAAGACAGCAGCUUAUGCUCAAAUUGCAGCACAUAUACUCAUCAAAAUUCAGAAUUUCACAUCAUAAACCCGAGCUCAGUGCUCAAGGGUUGCCAAUCAUGCUUUUUAUGCAAGAUCUAAUUAAGCUAAGAAGGUAUAAUGCUCAUUAUUGUAUGGAAAGAAUUCUGAAAAAUUUUGAAAUUUGGGCAAAAUUUGAACCCCCAAGUUUACACUAAACAUGCAAGCUAAGCAAGCUAUUACCCACACCCACUCAAAAAAUUGCUUUUUCUGUCCUAAAAGCUUUUGAAAAUCAAAGUAAAUGGAGAAAAAUAAGGGGGAACUUUGGACUCCCCUGGAAGGAUCGACAUCCAUGACUUUGGUUUGAAGCUUGCAUGGAUAAACCUUUUCAUUCCUUUUUCAUUGAUUAUUCAUCCUUGUUCCUGAAAAUCAAAGGAAAUUCUCUCAAUUUUAUAUAUUACUAAAAUUAGGAUACAUAUAAGUCUUAACUAGUCUCAUAGCACCCUCCAUUCAUCUUCCCCUACACUGGCUAUGGUAUCAAAAUUUUCAAUUAAGUAAUACGUCUACUAACGAACUUGAAAACAAAACACAUCACACUAAAAAACACAAACAUCACUUUAACCCAACAGAAGCAACUCUUUUUACCCUUGCACUCACUAUCACAUUACUAUCAUGUUUGUCAACUGUCAAACUAACUCUUUUAAGUUAUUUAGUGUGACUACAAAGUUAUGAACACCAUAAUCUUAAUUAAAACCUUUUAAUAAAUAAAUGCGAAGUUACUACUCAAGAAUGGCAAGGAAUUCAAAAAACAUGACAGCUAUCCUAAUUGGUUGAAAAUGAGAAAAAGAAAGUUAGCCAGACAACCUGUUUGGACUACAAAGCCAGCAGAUAUGAUUCCUCAAAUUUGACCAUUCACUCUCCAUACUCUACAAGUCUUCAAGCACAUGAUGCUGCCUACUUUCAGAUGAGCAACAUCAUUCCGAUCUUAACAGUCAGAAGAGCAAAUCAAAUCAAUCCUAGCAUAUUCACAAAUCACAACUAAAAAGUACAAACAUUACAAAUAAAACAUGCAGCGAUAUCAACAAGCAUUCUGAUAAAUAAUUAGCCAAUUAAUUGACAUUACAAAAUAAAUAAAGAAAAACAAGCAUUCUGAUGAUAUUUUUCUAUUUGUGCGGGCAGCCGAUGUUCACAAAACAGCGUUUCGAACCCACGAGGGGCCCUAUGAAUUCCUUGUGAUGCUGUUUGGGUUGAAACGCUUCGGCAACAUUCCAAUCAAUCAUGAGUGAUGUUCUUCGCCCAUAUUUACGCAAGUUUGUUUUGGUUUUCUUUGAUGACAUCUUAAUUUACAGCAAGUCCUUGGACGAGCAUUUGCACCAAUUGGCAAUGGUUUUGGAAACUCUAGUAGCUCAUCAACUGGUAGCCAACUUUAAAAAAUGCCAAUUUGCGGUUGACAAAAUUGAAUACUUGGGCCAUGUUAUUUCUUCAGAGGGGGUGGCAGCGGAUCCAACAAAAAUAGAAGCGAUGGUUAAAUGGCCAGCACCCAAGAACGUGAAGGAGCUAGGUGGGUUUUUUGGGGCUAACGGGGUAUUAUCGGAAAUUCGUUGCAAACUACGGUUCUAUUGUGCUGCCCCCUUGACACAACUGUUAAAAAAGGUAACUUUAAGUGGAAUGAGACGACCGAGAACGCAUUUCAGCAGUUAAAAGUCAGCAAUGAUGUCUGUCCCGAUGCUAGGUAUUCCUGAUUUUUCACAAAGUUUUGUGCUGGAAACUGAUGCUUCGGGUGUGGGUAUUGGGGCUGUCCUAAUGCAAAAUCAACGACCAGUGGCCUUUUUCAGUCAAGCUUUACCUAUUACCCAUAGGUUUAAGGCUGUUUAUGAACGGGAGCUUAUGGCAAUAGUGCUGGCUGUUCAAAAAUGGCGACCAUAUCUAUUGGGUAAGCCUUUUGUGGUGCGUACAGAUCAGAAAAGUUUGAAGUUUCUUCUUGAACAACGGGCUAUCGGGGGAGAAUAUCAGAGAUGGAUCGCUAAACUAUUGGGGUAUGAUUUUGUGAUUGAGUACAAGAAAGGAUUGGAAAACAAAGCGGCCGAUGCCUUAUAGAGAUUACCACCGGUAUUUGAAUUGGGCCUCGUAAGUAUUGUGGGCGGGCUAAACCCUUCGGUUUUCAUCGAUCAAGUGGCUGGAAAUGAAUCUCUUAACAAUAUUCGAUUAUCCUUGAUAAAUGGACAGCCAGCUCCAGAUGGAUAUUUGCUACAAGGAGGAGGAUUCACCUAAUAUUACUUUAUUAUUAGCUGAGUUCCAUAACAGCCCGAUAGGGGGACAUCAUGGUGCAUUGAAAACAUAUCAAAGGCUAGCAAGGGAGGUAUAUUGGCGAGGUAUGAAAGCCCAUAUCCGCACCUAUGUUGCUGAAUGUUCCGUGUGUCAGCAAGCCAAAUACUUGUCUUUAACUCCGGCUGGUUUCCUUCAAGCAUUACCCAUUCCGGACCGUGUGUGGGAAGAUAUUAGUAUGGAUUUUAUUGAGGGCCUCCCCAAAUCCGAGGGUUAUGAUGUUAUAUUGGUAGUUGCGGAUCUUCUUUCCAAGUAUGCACAUUUCAUCCCCUUGAAACAUCCAUUUGGUGCAAAAGUGGUUGCUGCUGUUUUUAUGCGAGAGAUUAUUCGUUUGCAUGGAUGCCCCUGAAGUAUAGUGUCGGAUCGUGAUCGUAUUUUCACAAGUCUAUUAUGGGAAGAGUUGUGGAGGUUGUUGGAAACUCAGUUGAGAUGAAGCACCACUUACCACCCCCAAACAGAUGGUCAAACGGAAGUUGUCAAUCGAGGGGUGGAGACGUAUCUAGGGUGUUUUUCUAUGAACACACCUAAACAAUGGGUUAAAUGGCUAGCUUGGGCUGAAUUAAGCUAUAAUACAACAGUCCGUACAGCCACAUUGAUGACCCCCUUCGAGGCCCUCUAUGGGCAACCACCCCCCUCUAUAUUACCAUAUGUGAAGGGCUCGAGCCGGGUGAAUGAUGAAGUAGACCAUUUGAUGAAAGAAAGAGAUGAAAUUUUGGGCGUUUUGAAGGCCAAUUUACUGAAAGCACAGCAGCGAAUGGUCAAAUAUGCUAAUGCUAAAAGACGGGAGGUGCAGUUUGAGGUUCAUGAUUGGGUUUAUGUGAAGUUACGCCCUUACCGACAGUCCUCUCUCAGCCGUUUUAAGCACACCAAAUUAGCCCCAAGAUUCAUUGGUUCAUUUAUGAUCGUGGCACGAAUUCGUUUCGUUGCAUACCGUUUGGCCCUUCCCAAGGAAUCGCUUAUACACCCGGUCUUUCAUGUUUCUGUUCUUCGCAAGGUCGUGGGUUCAAACAGGCCAUUAUUCCCAAUUUCAAAAGAUUUGGCUGCUGAUUUGUCUAUGCAAGUGUCUCCGGUAGAAGUAUUGGGAGUUCGCAAAACAAUAGAAAAGGAGGACAACUUAGAAGUUUUGAUCCGUUCGAGUGAGGGGACACUUGAAAGUGCAACGUGGGAACAAGCUGCUCUUAUUCAAGAAACAGUUUCCUGAAUUCCACCUUGAGGACAAGGUGGCUAUUUGGGGGGCGGGUAAUGAUAGACCUCCCAUAGUAAAGGUGUAUUCCCGUAGAGACAAGAAUAGGAAGAAGAAAGAAUGAUUGAGAGUUAGUUGGUAUUUUUCUAUUUGUGUGGGCCCUUAGGAAUGUGUUUGUUAGAGUGGGGCCAAGUAUUUUGUUAUUUCUCUAAGCAAUUACUUAAGUUUCUUGAGUGGAAGGGUAUGGGUAUCUUGAUUUUGGUAUAGACUCUCAUUAGAGAAGUGUGUAGAGAUUGGGGAGCUCUCAAAUCCUCCCCCACAGUUGAUAAAUAAAAUUUUGGCUAAAGCCUUGACAAAAGCUAAUGUAGAACAUCCCCCUUCUUUAUGUUUCUUGAGUUUUAUCCUAGAGGAGGUGUUUGAAUUACCAUUUUUAUAGUUUAGGAUUAGUUAUUUGAAUUAACAAUUUUGUAUCUUGAGUUAGUUAUAAGUAAACUAACUCAACCCCAAGUUAGUUUAACAACUCUUGUAAUCUCCAGCCUAUAAAAAGGCUUCUCAUUUUCAUUAAUAAAUGAUAAAAAAAAAGGCAUUAUACAUAAAGAUUUCCUAGCUUUGCAAUUACAGCAUCAAAAGCAAUGUACAGUUCAGAUGAGACUUUAUUCCAGUAUAGAGUAGCUCUGUAAUUGCAGAUCAAGAAAGUGAAUGUAGCAUGGAAAUCCCAAAUUCAACAUUUGGAAGUUAGCAAUUGACAAUCUCAUUAGUAGGCAGUGCACCCAUAAUAAAAUGUAAGAUUUUUAGAACCCUAAAAAUUCAAGUAACUUGCAACUAGUCAUUGUCAUGACCAUCAAUACUACGAUUAGUGGAUCAGCACAAAAUACAAAACAGUAAGACAGUAAAUCUUUAAAAACCUUACUUCUGUUUUAACUUGCUCAAGAAGAAUGUUGCAAAAAGUAUAUCAACAAGAGUUCCUUCAAACAUGACCUACAGGAAGAAGGGUAAAACAACAACAUCCUGUCAAAAAUCAUUUAAUGUGAUUGAGAUCUUUUAGCAUGACUGCUUGAGAACUUUUAGCACAACCGGGCAGCAACUUCAAUAACAGAAAAACAUGCAUAAUGUAGGAAGACAGCAGAUUUCAAAUUAUGACAUUGUAUUUAUGAAUGUCAGGCGAUACAUUAAUGUUCCAAAAUUCAACCAAAGUAUGGGGUGAAAGAUAUAUAAGAAUCUUCCACGAUAAGGCCAAGACCAGGAUAUCCUUAUCCAAAAAAAGAAAAAACUAAUCAACCAAAGUAAAUUCCAUGUAUGAUUGGGAAUUAUGGCCAUACCUUUGCCAAAAGAACUUCGAGGAAAUGGAAAAACUGGAGAUGUUGCUCAUGUAUCAUUCCCGAACCAGGAUUGGGGUAGAGCAAAUGGUCAGCAAUUUGCUGGAUUACCAAGCAGAAAAUAACUUAUAUUAGAAAAAAUGAACAAUACAUACCCACAUAUUACUGAAAUUUUAUGAAAUAGAUUUCAAGCAACCAAUUUUUAUAUUGAAAUGUGAUCUCACAACUAUUUUUAUUUUGAAAAGCGAUUUCAAACAACUAUGGCUGUCUCAUCACGCUUCAUGUUAUCCAAUAAUACUACAGGAUUAACAAAGCCAUGCCAUGCUAAUAAUAAGGAAUGUCGUGAUAACCUUAAAUAAACCAUACUGCACGUCAAAGGCUGCCGUGUAAUGUUCUCCAUGACAUCUUUAAAAAUACCACCACCAUCAAUUCCUGCCUCCUCAACUCCAAAUUCAUUAACAAAAGACACACGUAUCUGCAUGCAGAAAAGUGAAGCAAUUGACCCAACACAAACAAGAAAAAACUAAUAAACAAUUACAAGUAACUCUGCAACUAUAGGAUGCAGAAGAGGGAAGGGGUCGUUUUCACGAGGGCAAAGAAAAAGAUAGAAAAAAGUAAGAUAACAAUUUCAUUUUUCAUAAAUCAUGGAAGUCUGAAAUUACCGAUCCUUGAAGAUCAACUUCAGACAAUGCACUCAUCUGACUGAAAGCAUCUUCCAAUAUAUGAUUUCGUCGAAUUCUAAACCGGUUUCUGGCAAAAACAGCAAGAGAUCCAUUCCUUUGCCUAGCUGCUGCUAGUUGUGUCUGUGAAAUGAGUUAUAGAGAAAGUAACCAUAAAUAAAAAAUAUCUUACAUAUUUCUAUAACUAACAGUCGUCCAAGAAAUUCAAUAUUGUGGAUAAGGAAACCAAAAAAAUAACUUGCUUACAGUGAAAAUCUUAACCCUGCUAGUAAACGGUACUAAAAAGGGAACUCGCUUGUGUAUAUCAUUUGCUCUGGUAUUUUCUAUCACUGCCUACAAAGAAACAAGGCCAAGUAAAUAAUUAGAAUUACGAUCAGAUAGCAGGUCGUUAGAACCAAAACAUUCAUUGAGAACAAUUACCUGUGAAAUGAAAUAAUCAUUCAUCGCGUCAGCAUGGAAGUCACUGGGUGGUGUAAACUGCCGUCUAUUGUUCCAGUCUUGCAACUACAACGAGACAAUUUAAUCUUAGUAGAUCGACAAAAUGAUGCAUGGAUAAACAAUCUUGGAACUUUGGACUCCCCUGGAAGGAUCGAUAUCCUUGACUUUGGUUUGAAGCUUGCAUGGAUAAACCUUUUCAUUCAUUUUUCAUUGAUUAUUCAUCAUUGUUCCUGAAAAUCAAAGGAAAUUCUCUCAAUUUUAUAUAUUACUAAAAUUAGGAUACAUAUAAGUCUUAACUAGUCUCAUAGCACCCUCCAUUCAUCUUCCCCUACACUGGCUAUGGUAUCAAAAUGCUCAAUUAAGUAAUACGUCUACUAACGAACUUGAAAACAAAACACAUCACACUAAAAAACACAAACAUCCCUUUAACCCAACAGAAGCAGCUCUUUUUACCCUUGCACUCACUAUCACAUUACUAUCAUGUUUGUCAACUGUCAAACUAACUCUUUUAAGUUAUUUAGUGUGACACUACAAAGUUAUGAACACCAUAAUCUUAAUUAAAACCUUUUAAUAAACAAAUGCAAGUUACUACUCAAGAAUGGCAAGGAAUUCAAAAAACAUGACAGCUAUCCUAAUUGGUUGAAAAUGAGAAAAAGAAAGUUAGCCAGACAACCUGUUUGGACUACAAAGCCAGCAGAUACGAUUCCUCAAAUUUGACCAUUCACUCUCCAUACUCCACAAGUCUUCAAGCACAUGAUGCUGCCUUCUUUCAGAUGAGCAACAUCAUUCCGAUCUUAACAGUCAGAAGAGCAAAUCAAAUCAAUCCUAGCAUAUUCACAAAUCACAACUAAAAAGUACAAACAUUACAAAAUAAAACAUGCAGCGAUAUCAACAAGCAUUCUGAUAAAUAAUUAGCCAACUAAUUGACAUUACAAAAUAAAUAAAGAAAAAAAUCAUUGGAAAGAUCACUGCUUAAAUGAAAUUUGAAAUAUCUCCCAAUAGUUUUGAUCGGUUACCCGAGUUGUGAGAGUGAUCGGUUGAUAUUGCGUGCUUCCUUCAAGCGCUCCCCAGCUGCACCUGUUAGCUUCUGCCUCCGGAACCAGCUACUUAAACCAUCUGCCAGUCUCUGCACAAUAAAAUGAUUAUGAGCCUAAAUUUUACAAGUACCAGUCCGUUGAAUAUAGAAACGUGAUACUCAUGCUUUUCCAUCCUAAACAACAGAACUAUCUGCACUUCGAUUUACAAAUUCAUUGCCUUUUUCCGACAGUGCUCACAACUGUUAGUUGUUACAGGUAUACUUCUUUUAUUUAUUUAUUUAUUUUUACUAAAUUCAGUAAUACCAUAUUCCAGAUAUUAGCAACAUUAUUUUAGCAUUACCUUGGAUCGGGAUUGCAGGUAAAAGCAGUAUGUGAUAGCGAACUCUCAGGAACGGUCGGGUUAGAAGAGGGAGGCCUAGGUGGAAGCGGGCUCUUCAGGAUUUGGAAUCGAAAACCGAUCUGACGGUGGAGAAUUUUCUUUGGAAGACUUGGGUUUCCGAGGGGGUCUGCGCCCUUGAUUUCGGCACCGUUAAGGCUAGAAGAAGAAGAAAGUGGUGGAUCGACGAGAUGGGUAUGUCGCAAGAUAGAGUUUCUUGGCUGCUUCACGUUAGAGAGGAAGAGCGAAAUUUUGGAGGUAUAGGAAGAGCGAAACGGAAUUUGAGAGAUAGGAAAUCGCAGGGUUUGAGGAAGACGAAGAAGAGAAGGGGAGAUGAGAGGCAGAGUAAACCGAUGGAGAAGAAAAAGGGGAAAGAAAUUUGAAAUAAAAGAGACCGUUGAGGUUGAAGAAGAGGGAAAAGAAAAUUGACCGUGGAGGAGAGUUAUUUAAUUUUUGGAUUAAAUAUUUUGUAUGAAAAUUAAAAAAGAAAAAGUUAAAAGGCAAAUAUUUUCUACUUUUUUUUAUUAUUUAUUCUAUGAAAAUUCAAUAAUAAAAAAGCAUCUAUAUUUGCUUUUGGUAUGGUUCACAUUUUUAUUUAUUUGACAAAAAUCUAACUAAAUUAUCAUUCAUUUUGACCUAAUAUUGCAAAUAUAAAUUUAUAUUUUGCAUCUUAACUACUCUUUGGCAUUUAUAAUAUCAUUGUUCCACACCUCAAUUUUUUUAUUGUUGUCAAAAAUAAACCUAAUCCAAAAUGAAUUAGCAAAUUAGGGAAUAAAUGUAAUCAUUGUUUUUGGGAGUUUGAGUUCGACCGUGAUUAUUGUUGAAUAAUUUUCACUUAGACAUGCACAUUUUGCUAUUUUAGCAAUUUAAAUUUAAAAUUUUCUUUUAUCAAAAGUAAACCUCUUGUUUUAAUGUUUUUCUGGUCAUCCCUUUUAAAUACAACUAAUGACAAAUGAAUAUAACAAUUAAGAAAUUCGUAGAUAUAUAACAACAUUUUAAACUAAUUGCUGCAGUUAUUUUAAAUCACAUAUGUCAUUCGCUUAUAAGCCAUAAGAGUCUAUUAACGAUAUAAAUCUAUCACAAAUAUAUUUUGCUACAUUUACAAUUUUUAAAAGAUAUUGUUAUAUACUUAAUUAUUAUUCAUAAAAUUGCUAAUCCAUUAUACUUACCCUAAGUUAAAUGAAUAAUGUCAAAAGUAAGUUUACUACGAAGGUAAUUUGUGUGACCCUUUUAUCCUAACGUAGGAAGUUUGUUCCACUCCAUACCAUUAUUGAACUAAGAAGAUUAAGUGUGUAUUAGUAUGUUUAAACAAGUAUAAUUAUAGCAAAAUCUAUGAGUGAUAUAUUUAUAUUAGCAAUACAAUAUGUGUUACAUAUGCAAAUAUUUUGUAUCUAAUCGUUGUAUUUGCAAUUAACUCCAUUCAAAUAUACAAAUAUAAACAUAACUCUUUAACCUGAGUUUAGCUAGGAUCACAAACUACAAAAAGAAAGUAUGGAACAUAUUUAAUUUGUUUUUUUUUCUUUGAAGAAAAUUUGGUGUGUAGCACAUUAUAUAUUUUUCUUUCCUUUAAAAAACAGUAUUGAUCUUAUAAUAUACGGCCUUGCACAAUGUAUUCACCAUAAAGAUCAUAUAAUUGUAGAGAUGUAUAGAAGGUCUGAUAAACAACAUAAACGAAAAGUUCUAAUCCUUGAAAUUGUAAACAUUACCCAUAUCCUACAAUAAAAGUCACAUCAACUUGAUAUUUGUUGAAAUUUAACAAAAAUGAAAAGAAAGCAACGAUAAACCAAUGACGAUGGAAGAAGAUACAGUUUUCAAACACAACCAGCUAUCCAAAUUAUUCAUAAUAUGGUAUUAGAAAAUAUAUUGCAAUUUGUAACCUCAUAAGUUUAUAAACAGAGUAAAAAUUAAAGGAAAUUUUUUUAUCAAGCUUAUAUUAGGACUUUAUACUACUUAUAUGUAAUUCUUAAGUUUUCUUCUUUUAGCUAUAAAAGACACAAAUUAAGAAAAAAAAUGACUUGAUUGUCCAUGUAAAGUUAUGCCCCAACUUUUUUCUUCUAACUUAAGAAAAGGAACACCAACAAAUAUCUAUCCCCAUAAACUAAAAAGCAUAGGAAAAUGAUAGUAAAAGUAAAAUCAACUUUUUCUGUUAUCUUUUUCCUUCAUUCAUUUACUUCUAAUUGAAAAUAAAUCAAAAGUCUAAAACCGAUCAAAUUAUUGAAAACGAAAAAACAAGAAACAUAACAGUGUGGAGAGGUAGUUAUUAUCAAGUAUUUGAUUUUGUUUAAUAGAUUCCAGUUGUGACAACCACAACAAUUGUAUGCAUGAAGUUCAUCAUUCAAACAGAUUCUGACAACAAAUUUCAACACAUCUGCAAGGCGAAAGAAGAUAGGAAUUAGGAUAACAAGGUAAUUAGAACACUGAAAUAAAUUUUAAAAAUAAUUUUAUUGCCGAUUGCUACUAUAAGCAUAAUUAUCUGCUUGUAUAGUUGUCUUGCAUGAUCUGACAAAUACAUUAUGGUAUUUGAUAUUCCAUUCAGGUUGUAUCUUGCAUGUUACCAACAAAAUCAUGUGCUUAGUGAUAAAUUACUCUUAGACUGAGAAAUACUCGAAAAAAAAUCAAGAGUAACAACUCUUAGUUUCCCAGAAAAAUUGAAACAAAAUCAUGACAAACCAACAACAAGAACUUCAUAAACUUGUCUGAUGAAAGCAACUCAAGAACGGUCUCAAUGCAGAUCAUACAUGAGUUCUUUGCUAAAUAUUUCCAAAGGCUAAAAAGAGUUAAGGAAAAAAAGAAAAACAAUAAUUACCUGUAAUUUUCGUUGGUUCAUGAUCUUCUCUUGUCAUUCCCUCACUUUAAUCUCAUAACUGAAAAGGAAAAGAGGAGGGAGGGGUGAUUAAACUCAUGCAUGUACAUAAUGUCGAAACCAGCAAAAUUACCACCCUAUUAACUAUGAAAGUCUGGUUGUGGUCGAAGUAGGGUGAAAGUCAGUGUAGAUUAGAAUAGAUGUCACCGUGAAGCUCACUGUCGGUUGGGGGAGAACAUAAAAAUUGAUUUUUUUCUUUUAUAACAGGCUGACUGACCUACAGGCUGGGGUGAACUGGCUGGCAAGGAGGAAGUGACAUGCUACCACUAGGUUGUGUUAGGUGUGAACAAUGGACAAUGGUGGCUAGAAGUGAGGGAAGGGCUUUGUCAAAGGGUCGUGCAGGGCUGAACUCCAACUGUCCAAUAUUAGUUUGUUCGGUUACUUUCUUUGUUUCACCCAUAUCAAUGUCUGCAAAAAUUCCCACAAUAUAUAGAAAUGGAAAUAAAGAUCCUUAAGUUCUUUGAGAAAAAUCAUAAAUAUAGCCACAAAAUUUCUCCAAUUAUUUGUUACUUAAAAAAGUAUAGAAAUUGUCAACCAAGCUCAACUAACGCCUGUAUGUAUGUACUUAGAACCAAGAGGUCUCGGGUUUAAAUCCCUCUACCCAAAAUUUGUCCUAAAUCUCAACUUUUUUACAAUCAAUCCUAAAACUCUUUUUCUACCCCAUUUUUGGCCUAUUUUUGGCAAUUCCCCAAUACUAUUAUAGUUGUAGAAUAAAAAAUUUUAGAUCAAUCACGCAUUAUCGUUGAAUUCAAGACUAAUUAAAAAUUGACAUGUGUCCCAAAUUAAAAUUGAAAAAAAAUAUAAAUUUGUUAAUUUGGAUGAUACACAUGUUUGGAUCAAAUUAAUUAUUUUAGUUUAAUUAAUAUUAUUUACUCGGUUAAGACUAAAAUUCAAUCGAGCCAAAAAAAUAAAUUUAAUUUAGCUCUGGUCCAUAAAUCAACCAGACUCAAGUUCAUAAAAGCCACUAAAGAACUCUAUAGAUACUGGAGUUCCCUUCAUUUGAAGAUACAAACUUUGUUUCAAGACUCCAACUUCAAGAACGUCACGUGCUCUCCUUCCUCAAAUCAAGCAUAAGCAUCUAAGUGAGAGAGAAUCAGGAGAUCAAAUGACUCAUUGCAUCAAAUCAACAUAAAUACAUUAUUAAUACAAGUUGGAGUUCACAAAUUAAAUUUCUCUAUAAAGAUCUCGUGUAAACCACAGUGAACCAAAAAGUGAUUAUAAACGAAAUAUUUCAUUAAUAAAUUCAAUCAAAUAAAAAACACAGGAAAAUUACAACUCUACUGAACUUGAGAUGAAUCCUCAAAAUUCUAAGUCUUUUCCUUGGACGAAUUCUCUAAUCGUCCGUCAACACACACUUUUGUGGGAUGAGAAAUUUUAGAGCUACUAUGCCUCCCUCAUAGGAACUUUUGUACUUAAGAUUAGCUACUGACUUGGAAUGUUGCGGAAGACCUAUGGAGUUGUUGUAAAAUGGCAGAAAUUGUGAGAAGAUGGUGAUGAAUUUGACUAUAGUUAGUUGUUCCCCGAAAUGGAAGACUUGCUAUAUAAUGUAUUAAUUGACUGUCUCGUUGUUGCUGUCCAUUGUUAUUUUGAUAAAAGGUUUGCAGAUGUAAAUAAUUUGUAAAUUUAUAGAUCUAAGAAUGUUAUCAUACACUUCAUAUUAGAUAAUAAAAAUCACUUGACAAUUUCUCAAACACCACACCGUCUACCGCCUCAAAGUUGAGUUAUUGAUCAUGGUCAAGACAAAGAAAAUAAGGAUUGAGACCACACUUGCGAAGAAGAAAAAUGUUGAGAGGAGAAAAAGAUCAUGCAUGCAAAUGGAAAAAAAAAAGAAAAGAGAAAGUAGGAACUUUGUUUAGGUUCAUCAAGAAGAUAAAUGGAUAUAAAGAAAUAACCAAAAUCAUAACUUGAAUUCUUUCUCAUAUUUGCAAUAGUAGAAAUCUGGAAGACACAUUUGCAAAAUAUCUCAACUUAUUUUGCUACCUAUUACAAUAUUCCUAAACUUAUUGUAAAUGUACACAAUUUUGUAUCUGUGAUCAGUUUCAAGAAUCUCUCCCUAGAGAGAAUAAGUUGCAUCUUCUAAAAGUACUUGCUAUGGCUCAACAUCAACAUACUUUAGGAAACUUUUCAAUAGUUAUUUACAUAAAAGAAAACUAGAAGGUAAAAUAGUAAUGAAUUUCUCCAACUGAAUUUUGUUCGAGUUACAAUAGUUGUAUGUUUAUGCGCAUCUAUAUAUAUAAUGCAAUAAUGUAAGACAACAUGAGCAUAAUGUAAUAUGGAGAGCUGGAGGAUCAAAUAAAAAUAUAAGAAAAUCAGAUUAUUAUCUUUAUGAUAAAAUAAUUAGUACAACAAAAAACAAAAUUAGACUUUACUAAUUGCAGAUCAAAAAUUGCAUCCGCGACGCUGGCAAAUCAGAGUUGCAUGGGAGUUGAAUCCUUAACAAUCUCAUAUAAUGAUAUAAUGUUUUCAAUGCUCAAUAGGCCAAUGAUGCACCAUUCCAAGAGAUCUGAUUUCCUAUUCUGGAGGACUUCUUGAAGAAAAUGAAUGUUAUGCUUCAAGGAAGGUGCAAAUUUAUUAGAGAAGAAUUAAACACUGUUCUAUCUCAAGAAAUAUCAUUUCCAUAAAAGUAAAAGAACCUCCUUCCAGUGAGUAUGAUAUAAGUGGAAGAAUCUAGGUUAAAGAUUUAAAUAAGGAAAUCACAAUGAGAAUGUUGAUUAUUUUUUCCUUAGCUCGGCUUUUGGAAAAGGAACACACACCACUCCCUGAUUUCAUUUGCAUUAUUUUGGGUCAGCUUCAGAAUACACAAACUUCAGAUGGACAGCACAAACACUUGGAAACAAUUUAGCAGAACCAAUUUCUUAAAGAAACAUUCUAAACUAAUUAAAUAAAGAGAGUCCUCAAAACUUCACUCCUUGAAGAACUAUGAAUUGAUUCUCCUACAAUAGUAGCUAGCUUUUGAUAGGACCACGUCCCUUCACCACGGAUUAGAAUAUUGAUGUCAAUAUUUUAAUUUUUUUUAUUCUUCUUCUUUAAAAAAAAUAAACAUUUAAUUCUUGAACAUUGGGAUCUAAAUGUCCAGGGAUAAUAAUGCUCAUACCCACGAAAUAAUAUCCACCAUCCAAACUGUUAAAUAAAAAAAUUCUUUUCCUAAAAUUCUACCGAAGCAGUAGGAAAAGUUGUUAUGUAACUUUUUCUAAAUAAGUGAAGAAAGAGUGGACAAGAAUAUGAUAAAACCAAUAAAAUUAAUCAGAAGCUCCUAGUAUCCAUUUGAUUUAAUACGUUCCAAUCCUUGAAUUUAAAGCCUUGUACAUGUGUGAAUAUUAUGCAUUAACGAUUUAACGAUUUUAAAAUGAAAUAAGAAUGAAGGAUUUAAAUUCAUUCACUUGUGAAAGUUGAGAGAUUUAGUUAAUACAACAUUUAGUAUAAAUUGGUUUUCUUUCCCUUAAAAAGAAUACUAAAGAAAAUACGAAAGUUUUCACGAGGUUACACGUCCUCUCAACACAUUUUCCAUUGCAUAUAACCAAAAAUAGAUAAUAUUGCUUUCAAGUUGGCUAUUGCCACGAUAUUUAAGAAGAACGUUCAAGAGAAGAGGCUCAACUAUACGGAAAAAACCACUUUGAAGGAAUGAAUGGAAUAGAAUGAAAUUACCUCCACAGACUUCAAUUUGAAAUCUAGAUUCCCAACGCGAUGGGUGACCUCGUACUCUUCCCGAAGGUACUCAUAUAUUUGAGCAUAUUUUGCAUCCCUCCACGCAAUUUCUGAUCUGAGUGGCAAAGGAAAAAGACAUAAAAGAGCACUAAGAUAACAAAAUUCUACCAAUUAAAGCAAUAUUAUGAUCGAAUUUUCUAUGCACGAAUAUUAAUAAUAAUAAGAAGGUAAGAAUGUAUAUAUUUUUGUUUACUUAUAUCAAGCUUGAAAGGCAAACUUUUCUAUGUUAUGAUCUUGGUUCUGUUAGGAUGUCAAAUACAUUUCUGAACAAUAGUACUAUCCUGGCGCCAAGUACUGCGAAAACCACAUAAGACGUAAUCCAAGCUUUAAAGAGGCUCUAGAUAAAAUAAAAAGCAAAAUGUAUUUGAUAGGCCACUGAUUAUACAUCAGUAUGCUCGCAGGGGCAAAAAGGGCAAAGAAGUAGUUAUUAUUGAGUUGGGAGAAUCAUCCAACAGUAAGAAUGAUUAUCUUGGGUAGUUUUGGGCAUUUAUCUUGACUAGUUUCAGUCUUCAGGUGGUUAGUAGUUGGUUAUGAAGGAAGUUAUGUUACCGUUGCUAUGUUAUGUGUUUAAAUAAGAAGUUAAGUUAGCAGAUGGGUAGACAGUCUUUUAGUUUGAAGUGUUUGGGUUUCUCUCGUGUGGGAGGAAUGGUCUAUGUAAUAGUAAAUUAUCUAUAAUAGAAGAACUUUACUUUAGUAACUAUCAUACUGGUAUAAGAGCCCUCAACCUGGGGAUGAUAGGAAAGGUGGCACAGAAGAAAAUUGAAGAACGGUUAGGCGUAACUGAUUUUGAAAUUGCCAGGAUUUAAGUAGAUGUUCAGAAGUUACCACAAAUUGAAGAAACGCUGCUUGCACUUGCUUAAGAUUGUUCAACGCUUUAUCCUUAUAGCACAGUUGGAACAACAACGAAGGAAUGCAGAUGACACUCAAACAUUAUUGGCUUCUCUAGUUUCUGGUGUUGGAUUGUCAGAUCGCCCUUCCAAUUCGGAAUCGAAUGAGGAAAUUAAGAAUACGACAGUGGCAAACACAGUGGAACCUAUUUAUGGCUAUAGGAGCAAUGCAUUCAGACAAUAAUGAGGGUGAACAGGAUCAUAGCAAAUUAAACAAGUUUGAGAUGUCAGUAUUCAAUGAAUCCGAUCGUUACUUACAAAUCCAUAAACUUACUGAUUCCAAAAAAUUAACAGUGACAGUCAUUAGCUUCAAAGCAGCGGAGCAUUAGCUUCGAAGCAGCGGCUCUCAAUUGGUACCAAGCCACAGACAAACGAGAACCAAUUUUGAAUUGGAAUGAUAUGAAACGAAGAUUGUUGAUCCGAUUUGGCUCAUCAUGCCAAGGUUCAGUUUGUGGGCAAUUUCUCAUAAUCAAGCAAGAAACAGUGGUGGAGGAAUAUUGCAGUCCGUUUUGAUAGGUUAGUGGCUCCUUUACUCCAACUACCUACCAAAAAAAUUAAAAAAAGAACGUGUCCUCUGCAUGUCGUGUCCUAUGCAUGUUGUAUCCUAUAUGUUAAAAAACUGGUGUGUCGUAUCUCGUGUCGGUGUUCGUGCUUCUUAGGUUUUGAAUUUAAAAACUCUUCUAAAUAAUUUUAAAAAAAGAUUUCCUAUUGUUCGGUUUUUCUCUGACUUACCAAUUAAAUUAUUUGGUUGCACUACUUAUGUUCAUAAUCCCAACUCUACUCGUACUUCACUUGAUCCUAAAGCUGUUAAAUGCAUUUUUGUAGGCUGUCUCCUAUAGGAAGGCUUACAAAUGUUUUGACACUUCGACUAAAAGGUAUUUUGAGAGUAUGGAUAUGUCUGUUUUUGGAAAAUCAACCUUUUUUUAGCCAAAAUUCUCUUUAGAGGGAGUCCCCAACCUUAAGAUAAUUUUUGGGACACUUAACCUAUCCCAAACACCAUUGAUUCCAAAGUUAUGAGCUAACUCUUGACGUCAAGUGUGGAGAGUUCUUCAGGGGGAGAACCACUAUAGACUGACUUGACAAGUAAAAACCUGAACUACAGCUUUAUAAUAAAAGAAACUUGACUCGAAGGAAUUGAGAAUGAUCUAUCACAAAACCAAACUAAUACCCCGAUAAAUGAUUAUGAAGAUCCAGGUAACAUACAUUCUCCUUUUACUUCGUCUAAUUCUCCCCGUUCUUCUCAUAAUUCCUUGUCUAAUGUCUCUGAUCUUGAUAUUACAAUUGCCAACAGGAAAGGUACCAGUAAAUUUGUCAAAUAUCUCAUUGCAAACUAUCUUUCUUAUCGUAAACUUUCACAAUCAUAAAGCCUUUACAUCCAAAAUAAUCAACCUGUUUGUUCCGAGGAAUAUACAAGAGGUCCCAAAUGAAUUGAAUUGGAAAUUAGCAGUGAUGGAAGAGAUGAAUUCUACAUGGGAUAUACUUGAACUACGAAAAGAAAAGAAAACAGUUGGAUGCAAGUGGAUGUUUACGCUAAAAUGUAAAGCUGAUGGUAGUGUCGAGAGGUACAAGGUUGGAUUGGUUGCUGAGGGGUUUACUCAAACCUAUGGAGUUGAUUAUCAAGAAACAUUUGCUACAGUUGUCAAAAUCAAUUCUAUUAGAAAUUUGUUGUCUGUUGUAGCUAACUUUGAUUGGCCUCUUUAUCAAUUGGAUGUUAAGAAUGUCUUUCUCAAUGGGGAACUGAAAGAAGAGGUAAUUAUGGACUUGCCACCUAGUUUUAAGGUAGAUCUCGGGAUUAACAAAGUUUGCAAGUUAAAGAGAUCAUUAUACGGUCUCAAACAGUCUCCUAGAGCUUGAUUUGAACGCUUGUAUAUUCCUUGGAACAAACAGUCUCCUAGAGCUUGAUUUGAACGCUUGUAUAUUCCUUGGAACAAACAGUCUCCUAGAGCUUGAUUUGAUUCGAGAAAGUAGUCACGGGCUAUGGAUUCAGUCAAAGCCAAGUCGAUCAUAUGAUAUUCUACAAACAUACAGGAAAUGACAAGGUUAUGAUUUUGAUAGUUUAAUUUGAUGAUAUCGUUCUUACAAGCAAUGAUGAGACAGAACAAACUUUCGUGAAGAAAAAGUUGGCAGAUGAUUUCCAGAUCAAGGACCUAGGAACUUUAAAGUACUUCCUAGGCAUGAAGUUUGCCAGGUCCAAAAGUGGCAUUCUUUUCAAACAAAGGAAGAAUAUUAUUGAUCUGUUAAAAGAGACAGGUUUACUUGGUUGCAAGGUAGCAGAAACUCCCAUUGAGCAGAAUUUGAAAUUGAAAGUUGCAACCAAGAAUGAGAUAAAGGAAAGAGAAAAGUACUAGAGACUUGUAGGAAGACUCAUAUAUCUUUCCCACACGUCCUAACAUUGCUUUUGCAAUUAGUAUCAAAAGUCAGUUCAUGCAUGCUCUUGGACCAACUCACUUUUAUGCCGUUUAUAGAAUAAAAUCCUAAGUAUUUGAAAGGUACUUGAGGAAAAGACACAUUGUUUCAAAGACAUGAUCAUCUAAUGUUAACGUUUACACUAAUACUAAUUGGGCAGGUUGCAUGACUGAGAUCUGGUUACUGCCCCUUCCUUGGAGGAAAUCUUGCUACUUGGCAAAGUAAAAAACAGAGUGCUGUUGCAAGAAGUAGUGCAGAAGCAGAAUUUAGAGCUUUAACCCAACGCAUUUGUGAGUGUAAAUGAAUAAGAUUGUUGGAAGAAUUGGGAUUCACUCAAACAAUGCUCAUGCAGUAUCACGGCAGCAAUUUCCAUUGCCCACAAUUCAGUCCUUUAUAACAAGACGUAACAUACUGAAGUCAAUAAACACUUUAUAAAGCAAAAGACCAAUGUGGGAGUAAUAUGCAUACCCUACCUUCCGACAACAGAACAAAUUGCAGAUGUGUUAACUAAAGGCCUUCCAAAGUGGCAAUUCAACAAACUGAUUGACAAGCUAGCAAUGACUGAUAUCUUCAAACCAGCUUGAGGGGAAAUGUUGAUUAUUUCCUUUAUUGUAUUAUAUUUUAUUGUGUUGGUUGUAUAAUAUUUGCCAAAUUUAUUUUUUCCUUUUUUGUAAUGAGUUGUUUUAUUUAAGUAAAAUCUUUCUAUUUGUGAAAUAAACAAGAAAUAUAUUAUUUUAGCAUAAAUCAAUGAAGUCUUAAUUCCAAGCGAUGUUUACUGGAUUUUGUUUGCCUCUUUAUUUGUUUUGAGGAUCUUUUUUCUUCUACUUUGUUUGCUUAUUGGUUUGUAUUUUGAGUAUAUCUCUUUUCAUUUCCCUACGUGAUGGGAAACUUGUUUUCAUUUCCUUAUGUGAUGGGAAACUUCCGCAAGGAAGUCUCUUACUGUGAGGAACCAGACUAUUCCUAUAUCUGCACAAUUCCGAGUAAACGAUGUAUAAGAAUGCUUAACGACAGAUGGUCUUCCUUUUUAAGAAUGUCCUGCGUUGUGGGUGGUCUCUUAUUCCGCCGCUUUCUAGAGCUAUGCGCGCUGCCAUUACCCCUUGGAUUGGCCAUGAGACAAACAUUUUAGUUUCUUCAUUGCAAGUCUCUUUGCAUUUCCUUAAUGAACAGUUUUUUAUAUUGUAUCCUUUUCAAAACAAUAAUAAAUAAAAUAAAAAGACAGCUAUCUGUUUAGACCAAUAUACUAUAAGUCCAAUACCAACUAUCGGGGUUUUACCUCUCAAAAAGACCAACUUUGAGAAUUACAUCUGCUAAAUUUGAAUUGGCCUUUCCAACAAGUUGAAGGAGCUUUUUCUUAUCCAUAGUGAAUGUUCCUGUUUUCUCCAUUUUACGAUUUAUAUCUGCAAACUCUUCAACCAAACUAUCAACCUGAAAAAGAAAAGAGAGAAAAGAAAAGGCAUGUUUUGAGAACACAAAUACAAGCACUAAUUGGUGCUGAAGAUUAAAAUGCCAAACUCGGAGAAUUAGUAACUUAGAUAUUUAAUGAGCAAGCAGAUCUCAUAACCUCCGUCAUUCCAGCUAAGUGACAAAAAAUGUCAAUUAUGACACGAUGAUGGAAAAGUUGCAGGAAAUUAUGAUGUCACCAAUCAUGCUUUAGGAAUAGGUCUAGAAAUAAUAUGAGUGGCCUACUAGGUUGUCCCAGGAGUAAAUAAAAGAAUGUGAUAGACUGCCAAUGAUUGUUCACAUAACCAGGCAUUGUAAUCCCAUUUUUUUAUUUUGCUUCCAUACCAAAUCGUAAAACCAAAUUGUAUUUAUAUGUUGUCUUGAUCUUUUGGGAUCAUUCUUUGGAUUGGAGUCCUUUAUUGUAGGAAGGGUUGAACUCUCUUUUCUAUUGUCGGGGAUUGGGCUUCUUUUUUUCUCUUUUCUAUCCUCUUGAGUGCCCUUCUAUGUUCUUCAUUUCUCUCCAAGAAAUUGUGGUUUUGAAUAAAGAUUAAAGAAACAAAAAAUUGAUAAAAAUCAGUUUGACAAAAUGUAAUUUUUAAAAAGAACAUAAAUAACAAUUCUACAGACAUUUCAAGAGCUCCCCAUCUCUCCUAAUCCUAACCAAAGAUAAUUCUUAGAGAGAACCUAUUGGCACCUACUAACCAAUAUAUACCCAUCUACUAGGAACGGGUCUGGUUUCAUUAAAAGAUUAUAGCAAUGAUUCUACAGUUUUGUAUCCUAUUUGACACCUUUAAGGAUUAUUUUGUGUGUUGUAUUUUGUUUUUCAUAGACACCUGUCUAAUGAAGAGCUGUUACCUAUAAUUGGAAAAAUUCACCCAUCAGAGCAUUACUAUGCAAAACAACAGGCAGAAUAUAUCAUACAGCAGGUACUCAUCCAUAACGAAUCUUAAAACCCAUAUGCAAGUCGAUGAAUUUUUUAGCUUUACUUUUACGAUUGAGAUAUUGCUUGGAUAUUGUGGCACAUAUUAAUGUCAUCAACAAACAUCUCAUGAUUCUUAUGUAUGGUUGUAGAAACAAUUUACUCUUUCUUUUCCUCUAUCAGUGAGAGCUUGCUGGGUUGUCCAUGGAUUGUUUUAUACUCUGUACAGUUAUUUUAAUUUUUACUUGACCGACCACCCAUCACAUAUAAGUAAUAUUGUGUAAAAUUCAUUUUACGAGUAGUAAAAUCGGUCAUAUUAAAACGCAGUCAUUACACCAAUUGUUUUCUGUUUGCACUUUGUGGACUGAAUGGUUAUUCUCUUGGAAGUUCCUUUAUCAGAUUUCAUUAUGAAUCUAUUGCAUCUGACUUUUAACUCAAUAAACGGUAGCAUAAUUGUUAAUGUUAUUAUGGUCCUCAUUGAUUUUAAUAAGAUAGACCAAGUGUUCUCUAUCAGCCUCAGAACAUAAGAUAUAGUAUGACGUCAUUUAUCUUAUCAUUUUACAUGGAAGAACUUUCUUGCAAAUGUUUUCUAAAUGAGAAAACAUUACCAUAAGGCAUAAGAUCUAGAAUUAGACUAGGCCUGGAAAAUAUUUUCAUCUUCCAGAGGGAGCAACUACAUCUGUUGAUUAACAUCUUCAUUCUGUCUUUAUUUUACAGGCUGAUGCAGAUAAAGAUGGACGUCUCACCUUGGCAGAAAUGAUCGAUCAUCCUUACGUAUUUUACAGUGCCAUUUUCAACGAAGAUGAUGAGGACGAUUAUGAUUUCCACGAUGAGUUUCGUUAAGUUUUUUCAUGUAUGGACACCUCCCUCUAUCUAACAAACUUCCGCGGACAAGAUCAGUCUUGAUGUUUGUUGCUGUUGCAGGAAUAGUCGAAUAGUCAGAUAGGAUUAGCAGUAGAGAAAACGGAGUUCUUUCGCAGCAUGGAAUCGGGAUACAGAGUUUGAAGUCUUAGGCAACAACUUGGAGGAGAUCUCUCUGGCAUGGUGGUCAGAACUGGGUUAAACUUCUUCAGCCAUGGCUCGCCCAUAUGGUGGUAUCCCUCUUUUUGUAGCAUAUGAAACCCCCAUCUUGUCUAAGAUAACAAUGGUUUCACACCUUAGAUUAUAGACAUUUAUUUGCCAAAAUAGUUUUGUUAAGUUCAAUGUCCUUGGUAUAGAAUUACCAUUUAAUUGUUAUUUGUUACUAAUUUAUUCUUCCUGGAUAGAAAAUUAUCAAUUAUUCAAUCAUAUUUAUCUUUUGAGUAUAGGGUUUUGAAAAGUGAGCUACAAACAGGUGUGUAAUUUUAGAUUUUGUUGCCUUUUCAAAUAUGAUGUUGGAUAUGAUAUUUGGUUUAAGAAUUUUUUGACCAAGUACAAAUAAUUGAAUUUUGUUGCCUUUUCAAAUAUGAUGUUGGAUAUGAUAUUUGGUUUAAGAAUUUUUGGACCAAGUACAAAUAAUUGAAUUUAGGACUAAUUAAAAGUUGACAUGUGUUGACAUAAGGAUGAUGCCACGCAUUUUCAUCGUUGGUUCAAGUUAAAGUUAACUAUUUUAGGUUCAAUUAAAUAUUAUUUAUUUGUACAAUUUUAGCCUAAGAGCUAAAUAUGACAAAAAUAUAUGUGAUUGGAUCCAUGAGUCUGAUCCAUGGAUCAACAAAGUCCAAGCCCAUAAGAGGACUAUAAAUAGAAGAGUCCUCCUCAUCUGUGGAGAUAGAAAUUUUUACUCCAUAGGGUUUAAAGAGAAUUCUCCCAAGAACAAGAAGACUCUCGAGUUUAAAGAGAAUUCUCCUAAGAACAAGAAGACUCUCCUCGACCACCCUCCAAGAUUGAAGAAAAACAUUAUGUGAUGUAGCUUCCUCAAAUCAAACAUAUAGACAUUCAAUCGAGAGAAAAUUAAAGGAUCAAAUAUUAGAAAUAUUGUUUGGUCAAAUUGACACGUUCGAUGGGAUAUCUCUACCUCUUAUCUCUCUCUCAUCAUCUAAAUCUACAAGCAAACCAAUGACAAUAAAGAAAGCUUAAUCCAAAUCUUCUAUAAGCGACACUUGCACAUCUUCUAUUGCAAGCGACGGUUACACAAGACUAGGACCUGUACCCACAGUGUUCAAGGGAAAUCAUCCAGGAGCAGAAUCAAGGUUCUGUCAUUGCGUAGAGCAUUCUUAAGCAAUUGAUGGAGUUUCCUAAAGUUGGGAUUGUCAUCAAGGAAUCCCUUGCUAUAAGAAGAUCGAUAAUCACGAUAAGGUAUAUAGGGAAUAAGUUCACACCUAAAUGAAAUGAAAUAGACCCUACAUUGUCAAAGAAGUUUACACAAAUGAAGUAUACAAGAUUAUUGAUCGAGAUAGAUUAAAAGUUGCCCCAAUCAAUGAUAGGAUUCUCAAGACAUUUUAUGUGUAACGUCAUUAUGUAAAAAGCUCUUUAUCGCAAGAGCUUAAACUGCAUAAUCUCCAAACCCACACGAGCUUAAAAGGUGAGUGAUAAAAAAAAAAAAAAACCAAUCAAACUAUUUGAUCUCAAUGUUAUAAAAAUGGUACGUAGGCAGCUUAAUGUUAACUUUAAGUUCAGUUAUAUGUGCAAGAAAAAAGUUUAGUAAGCGACAUUAUGACUUAAUCUCAUAGUAAAUGGUACGUAAGCAACAUGAAAUAAGAAAUUUUCAUUAUCAUUAAAGCAAAGUUUUGUAUUUACUGAAAUUAAAAAAAGAAAACGAAUAAAAAAAAGGGAAGGGGAGCAAAGUCAAAUCUUCCACAUGAAGCUCUUAAAUUCCUCGUGUGUAGCCUCCAUACUCUUAUGAACUGUAGCUAGAGCCUCGAUGACUUCUUCUUUGAUAGCCGGAGUGUUGACUUCAUUCUGGAUCUUUGCAACUUCUAGUUCUUUCUUGUCUAUGUCUUCGUUCUUCUCACAAGAUAAGAUAGAUAGCUGUUUAGACUCAGUAUUUAUACUUUGAAGUCAGCUGCUUUCUAGUUCCAUCUUUUCCAAAGCCAAUUGUGCAACCCUCUCUUGAAUAACUUUGGCAUCUUUUCGUAAUUGGUUUAUCAAAGUUAAGGCUUCUUGUCUAAUUGAUGAGCUUUGUCUGUCGACGACAACUACGCAAAAUACGAAGAUUGUACAACAUUGAAAUUGUCUACCCUCUUAAAAUAAUUGUUUAAAUAUUCUUCAACAAGGAGUUAGGUUGUCUGCAUAGAUCUUCGCAAUUCUCGAAAGUAUCGUCGUUAUAUUUUGUCUAAAUCUUGAGAUAUAUUUAAAAAGAGUGCACAUGAUCUUGUCUUGAAUGUCCUCUCACAUGCAUAAAGUCGUUUUCUGAAGUAUGUUUGAAACUAUCUUUUCACCAACCCAUGAGAAGGCACAGGGUGUCCUACCAUCUGCUUCUUGGAAGUGUUUAAAGACAACUUAGAAAUCUGGAGAAGAGCAUGUGUGGAUAUGACAUUCUCUGAAGUUUCUUUAGGGCAGACAUUUCCUUUAGAUGGAGGAUUCAAAUUUUUAACAUUUUUUUCAUUCACUUUCAUCUUACCACGUCGAUUCUCCUCGAGGAGAGCACAUGAUUGUUCAGCUUGUUCAGCAACUAGUAGUUUUUAGGUACCAACUUCUUUAAUGGCCAAAUCCACAACAUGAGGCCGUGUCAAAGAUUCAUCGUUGCAUUGCUCAAGCUCUUGAAGAUGAUCAUCUAAAGGUGACUAUAGAAAUAAGUAAUAAGUAAUAAGUAAUAAAAUAAGUAAUAAGUAGUAGUAAUAAUAAUAAUAAUAAUAAUAAUAAUAAUAAUAAUAUAUAAUAAUAAUAAUAAUAAUAAUAAUAUAUAAUAAUAAUAAUAAUAAUAAUAAUAAUAAUAAUAAUAAUAAUAAUAAUAAUAAUAAUAAUAAUAAUAAUAAUAAUAAUAAUAAUAAUAAUAAUAAUAAUAAUAAUAAUAAUAAUAAUAAUAAUAAUAAUAAUAAUAAUAAUAAUAAUAAUAAUAAUAAUAAUAAUAAUAAUAAUAAUAAUAAUAAUAAUAAUAAUAAUAAUAAUAAUAAUAAUAAUAAUAAUAAUAAUAAUAAUAAUAAUAAUAAUAAUAAUAAUAAUAAUAAUAAUAAUAAUAAUAAUAAUAAUAAUAAUAAUAAUAAUAAUAAUAAUAAUAAUAAUAAUAAUAAUAAUAAUAAUAAUAAUAAUAAUAAUAAUAAUAAUAAUAAUAAUAAUAAUAUAAUAAUAAUAAUAAUAAUAAUAAUAAUAAUAAUAAUAAUAAUAAUAAUAAUAAUAAUAAUAAUAAUAAUAAUAAUAAUAAUAAUAAUAAUAAUAAUAAUAAUAAUAAUAAUAAUAAUAAUAAUAAUAAUAAUAAUAAUAAUAAUAAUAAUAAUAAUAAUAAUAAUAAUAAUAAUAAUAAUAAUAAUAAUAAUAAUAAUAAUAAUAAUAAUAAUAAUAAUAAUAAUAAUAAUAAUAAUAAUAAUAAUAAUAAUAAUAAUAAUAAUAAUAUAAUAAUAAUAAUAAUAAUAAUAAUAAUAAUAAUAAUAAUAAUAAUAAUAAUAAUAAUAAUAAUAAUAAUAAUAAUAAUAAUAAUAAUAAUAAUAAUAAUAAUAAUAAUAAUAAUAAUAAUAAUAAUAAUAAUAAUAAUAAUAUAAUAAUAAUAAUAAUAAUAAUAAUAAUAAUAAUAAUAAUAAUAAUAAUAAUAAUAAUAAUAAUAAUAAUAAUAAUAAUAAUAAUAAUAAUAAUAAUAAUAAUAAUAAUAAUAAUAAUAAUAAUAAUAAUAAUAAUAAUAAUAAUAAUAAUAAUAAUACAAGAAAAGAAAAAUAUGUGAACUAGUAGUGUCGAAACUUUAGGAAUUUUCAGAGCACUCAAACCCUUUCCAUAGAAAUCAUCACCUAAUGCCUUUGCUUUCUUCGAAGGUCUCUUGCAAUGAUCGAUCACUUCUGCUACCAUCACUUUCAUCUCUAAGCUCCUUGGCCUCCUUUUGGAGGGUAGGAGCCAUUGCUUUAACCAAAUGAAUAUGUUUACCACCUAGGUUACUCCCUCAAUUCUUGAGUAGUUUGGGUGCUCACCAAAUGGUGUCUAUUAUCCUUAAAAUAUGUCUUGUGCUUUGUUGUCCACCAAUUUCUAAAUCGUGUUGUCACAUGCUUGCAAGACUCUAACGUAUGGGCAAGCAAGAACAACCCAAAUAAAGAUUUGCACCUCGUGCAUAUCUCCACCGAUAUAUAUGUGUUAUUUGGAUGUAAUCACAAGUGACAUUUCCUCUAUAUCAUUAGGUAUAUCUUGGUAAAAGCCAAACUAUUUCUUGAAACUGAUAUGGACUCUAUGAUUGCACAGUUCAAACAUUUCCACAGCGAGAUAAUAAGUAGCAUCAGCGCAUACUUACAAGAUAGGAAGACUGAAGGAAUGAUGAGUCAUUAAUAUCAACCAUGCGUUCAUGCUUAUCGGUUUUGAAGGUUUGCAGGCCAUUGAAUUCUUGAACCAUUGUGGAUAAGUUCUAGCGCCUCAUAUUCUCCAAAAUAAAUAGACAUAUCUUCGUCAGUAAAGUUAGCCAAUUUGGGACCCGAAACUUCUGUUGUGUAGAGGGUAAUGCGUGCCAAAAUAAUUGAAAAUUUAUGUUGAUUCAAAGAAAUUAAUGGUGGAAAAAAUUAUGGAUUACUGGUGGAUUCAAGAACUGUAACUAGUCAGGUCGAGGAAAUCCAAGUAAAUCCAUGCUGAGAAUAUGACCUUAAGUGAAUCUUUUUAGGUAUCAACAAUAAUUGAAAAAUUGUCACUCUCAUGGAGAGAUUUGAAAAAUUAUCUCAAACAUAAACGCAAAGAGAUAAAACUUGAGAAACUUGUGGAUCGGCUUGGGACUAAAGACAAUAAUAGAAAGGCAGAAAAGUGUGUAUUUUGGAUAGUACAAUAGAUCCCAAGGCGAACACCGUGAAAAAUAAACAACAAUGUAACAAAGAAAAGAAAGUUUUUUUGGUGAAGGUUUGAAUACAAAACCUUUUUAUUUGUUUGAUUGUAAUAGAAGAAUUUUCUGAUGCCUUGUCAAUUUUCAAAAGUCCUAAAAAUAGUGUUCAAAUUUUAAAACGACACCAAGUUUUAGCAAUUCCUUGUAAAAAUACUCGUAAAUUUUAAAAAUGUGUGAAUACCUCAAUCACCCUCCUCUUCUCUUCCCCUUUUCUACUUCAAUGUACAACUAAACUCUUCUCUAUUUGUUCUUGACUCGACGUCAAUACCCUUUCGUCUUUCAUCUCCCUCUUCUUAUUUAUAUUGAUAUAUUAUAUUAGUGCUUCAUGUUACCCUAAACCAAGCAAGGUUUAGAGAAAGGGAAAUAGAAUUUGUUUUGGGAAAAGGGAAAAAAAGAAAAAGGUAAAAGAAUUGAAAUGAUAAAAGGUAGAGAAAAAGGAUUUGUACAAGUUGUUAGAAAAAAGAGAGAGAAAAAAAAAGGGAAGUUGGGAAGUUGGGAGGUUGAGGUUGAGGUUGAGGUUGAGGGGACCAAUUAUGGGAAGUAUGUGAUGGGCAAUACACAAAGAAAAAGGCAGCCUUUAUUGAUGUGCCUUUCUCAUCAUCAUCUCACAAAGCUCAUCCAAUUCAAUAUAUGAAGAUUAAAUUACCAUUGCUUCUUGUUACUGUUACCAUUCUCAUCACUAUUUGACAAUAAAUGCAAUUAAAUUUACAACACUAACAAAAUUCAUAAAAGAAAGGUAGAAAUAAUAACAAUGUAAAUAAAUAAAUAAUUGAAUUAAAAAUGCGGCUAAAUUUAGAGAAAGAGAGAGUUACUUAAUAUUGACAUAUAAAACACAAAGUUCAAUUAUAUGUUAACUUUGAAAACAAUGUUCAAUAUUGUGUCAAUGCUAUGUUAGACAUUGUUGAAAAGUUAAAAAACCUAUUUCAUAUAAAGGUGAAAGAUGAUAUUUAUAAUCAUAUAUAGAUAUGGGAUGUAAUGGUUUUGGUUAAACUUAUAAUUUAACAAAAGAGAGAUAAAGGAUAAGAAAUCACUAUCCUCACCUAUAAACAUCUCUAUUACACAAAAGAAAAAGAAAAGAAAAGGGAAGUAAUUGUUGUGAUUGAUGAAGUCAUGAAUGCACAAGUCCAUACAAAUUGACUUUAGUACAAGUUUGAAAGUAUAGCUCAAGUUUGAAAGUAUAGCUCAAGUUUGAAAGUAUAGCUUUGGCAUCAUUGCUAUUAGAAUGGGGAGCCAAAAGGACAAAUAAUAUGUUGGUACAACAAAUAUAUAAUAUCUCCUCCACUCCUAACUUUUUGUCCAUUUCAUUUUUGAACUAUCCAACUUUAAUCUUACCUUUUAUCUAUAAUCAUCUAACACACUUCUUCUUUAAGCUCUCAUAAACCCAUUUUUAUUAGUGUUGCAAUCAUUGCUUUUAAUAGAAAUAGAAGUAUCAACAUUUCAAUUUAGAGUAGUUGUUAAUGCUUAAUGCUUUUUUUUUCUUUUUUUAUAAAAUAAUUCAUGGAAGACGAAUAUGAGGAGUGAUUCAUAUGGAUGUAACAUCAUUUGAAUGCCUAUCUAAUAAAAAUGACUAGAGUUUUAGAAGUGACUCAAAAAUGAACUUCUGCUUGCACUAGCAUCUUGUGAAUUUACUAAUUCAUCCUUAUAAAUUUGCAGUACACUUAUAAUUGAAAAACGCUAAUUGAUGCACGAUCUAUUGUACUUAAUGCUCGAUACUUGAUGUUCUAUGCUUUAUAUUAUAUUCUCUAUGUUAUAUUUUAGAUACUAGAUACUAGAUACUCACUCGAUGCUUUAAUGCUCACUCUUCAAUACUUGAUGUUCUACUACGUUUUAUUUAUGUUAUAUAUAUGUUUACCACUUGAUGCUCUAUACUUGAAAAAAAAAAAAAAAAGCAUUUAAAGUUAAAAGUGAUAAUUUUAGAUAUUUUAAUUGGUUUUAAAAAAGUAUGAGAUAUUUUAUUUGAGGUGAUAUAUGCAAAAAUUUCAAAUAAGGGUGUAAAACUUUAUAGCUAUAUUUGCAUUUAGAAUAAAUAUUUUAUAAGGUUAUUUAUCAUAAGACAACAAUAAAAUUGUGAGAGGUUGGAUUUCAAAACUUUUACAAAUUUAGGAACAUUUUCAUUUAAUACUUCUAUUCAUUUGACAAUAUUUAUAGUGUUAUAUCAUUUAAAAUAAUUUAUAUUAUUCAAAAUCAAUUAUUUUGCUUUCGAUGCCUUUAAAAAUAGCAAUUGAUAAAAUAUUUACAAAAUUAAAUUUGCUAAUUUUGUUGAUGGAAUUGAGUUGGUUAUUUUACCAACUUACUCCAACUCUCUCCAAUUCUUCGUCCAUUCAAUGUUUUAAAUGGUUUCCCCCAUUGGCCUCCAUUAACAAUUACCACUACCACACUUUGGUGACAUACUCCGACAACUUUGAGCUUAUAUGACCAACUUUGAUGAUCACCUUCACACAAGCAAUUUCAGUGACAUACUUCGACUUCUACCUUCGUGUCGCCAAUUUCAUCAACCAACUUGGGGCUCCGCUAACCACCUCCGACCAAAAUCCUAGUCACUAACUCUAAUGACUACCUUUGCACAAGCAACUCCAUUGACAUAUUUUGAGCAGCCACCUUUAGGUGACCAACUCUAGGCUCCAAUAACCACCUCUAACCACAAACUUCGAUGAAUAUCACUUUGGAUGAUCAACUUCAAUGACAACCAUCUCUGGCAACCAACACUAACAUAUAAUCAAGAGACCAACUUCGAUGAAGGCCACCUAUAAUGAGACCGUUAGUGAUAACUCUAUUUUUUGUGAACACGUAAAUAGACGUUUGCACAUUUCCUCCAACUAGUGGACAAACAACGAAACAAGAUAGGAAUUGUUCUCUUUUUAGCUAACAUUUAUGAUGGAGUUAAAAUUAAGUGAGAGUUCAAAAUUGAAGGUUAGGGAGUAGAGAAAAAUGUUCAUUUUAUUGAAAUAUAAGGUGUCAAAGUAUGAUAUAUGUUUACUUGGUAGAAGUUUUGUUAGAUUUGAAGGAAUAGAAGAAAAAAAAGCAUUUUUUAGUAAUUUUUUUUUUAUAGAAAAAGUAGUGUACAUUUGGAGGAAAAAAAAAAAAAAACUCAAUACAAACUCAAUUAUGUUUUAGAAAAAACGCACCACAUAUACGUCAACAUAACUUUACACAAACUUUUAACUUAGCUCAACUCACUACUCCAAAGAUCCAAACACAGACAUUCUAACUUUCCAAAUAAUAAUUACCAACCUAACUUAACUAUGCACAGUCAACAUCUCGUUAAAGCUUUGUUUGAAGCCUCGGAAUUCUGAGUGAUUUUAUUUUAUAACAGAUUUCAAAUAAAUUUCGUUGUUUGUUAUCACAUAAAAGAGAAGGAUUUUAAAAUUUGAAAUGAUUUCAAAUCAUGUUUUUAUUUGAAAAUUUUUCUUGCCAAAAUAAUCGGUUUUUGUAGGAUUUUAUAGGGUUUAGAGUAAAUUAUAUAAUUGACCUCGUCAUUUUCUAAUUUUCAAGUAACAAUCAUAGAUAAAAGUCUAAUUUAGUGAAUUCUUAACUUUUUUUUUUUUUUCAAUUACCAUCCACAUAUGAAAUUUUAAAUAGGUUUUCUUUUUAAAAAAAUCUAAUAAACUAGCAAAAUAUUACACUGUAUUGGACAAUUUUGAAAACGAAAAAAGCUUGCAAGCCCACAAUAGAAAAUACAAAAAAUAUCCCAGUCAAACACGUGAUUAAUUGGUCAGUCACAUACUCGCGUGUAAUUUUUCUUCUACGAUCAUGAUAUGCAAUCACGUAGAAAAUGAUAUACAAUCGUAUAGUUUUUUCUAACGAACAUAAAAAUGCUUCAAAUCUAAACGAAUGUGUUGACCACACUUUAUGAUCGUGUUGACUAUGUAAACAAUCAUUUAGAUCAUAUCCACAUGAUUUUAUAGUUUUUUUUAAACGAUGGAAAAAUGAUUUAAAACCUAAACGAUUGUGUUGACCAUGCUAAAUACGAUUUUGUUGACUAGGUAAGAGAUUGUUUAGAUCAUAUAAAAAUGAUAUUCAUACGACUUUGAUGUUUUGGAAGAGGAUCUAGAAGAAAGAGAAGAUGAAAAAAAUAGAAGAAAAGAAUAUGAAUAAAGUAGAAGAAAAUUUGGAAAAAGAGUCGAAGAAAUCUAAAAGAAAAUAUGGAUAUUGCAAAGAAUAAGAAAGAAAAAUGACAAAUUGUCCGUAAUAUCAAAGACAAACUUGAAAUUUAUGAAAAUAUUUCACCGACUUUAUGAACUUUUUGUUUUUGUUACACGGACCGUAAAUAUUUUGGUAUUUUGUUACAUUUAUAAAAAUUAACAUUUUAAAUAUAGUUAUAUAAACAAUUUCUCAUUUAAAAAAAAAUAAUUAUUUUUUAAUAUUUGUGUUUGAAAACUUUCCUACAUUUUGAACCUUUGAAAAUGCUCCAAUGUUUUAUUUCAUUAAUUUUUCUCCUAAAAGAGUUGUUUUCAAAUAUGACAAAAUGAACAACUUUUUUACAAAUAUAUCAAAAUAUAACAGUCGACGAACAAUAGACUACUUUCUGUGACACGAUCGCUAACUCUGUCAUAGUCUGUCACUAAUAAAGAAAAAAUAUAAUAUUUUGGUGUAAUUGUAAAUAAUUAUUUUAGUAAUUUUAUAAUUUAAAACAAAAUGCUAGUACUUUAUUCCCUUACAAACAUAACAUAAAUUUAAUUAUCAUCUUUUUUUGUUUUUAUUUAAGUUGUUAUAUUUGGAAACAUAAUUUUAUAAUUUUAUGUUAUGCUACUCAUGUGUGGAUAUCUCUAAAAAAAAUGUGAUAUUGAUUUUGUUGUAAAAACUAAUUGGAACACCUAUCUCAGAAAUACAAUAUUCAACAAGAAAAUAACAAAGAUAAAGAUGAAAAAUCUCAAAAUUUCACACUUUCUCCACACGUUAUUGGAAUUCCUCGGUGUCCAUUAAAAUUGACAAAAUCCAACUAUUUAUAGGUAAUUUGACAAGCAUGAGGUGAAUUACAUAGUUAAGGGUGGACAUGUGGCUAUGGACACUGACCAUACUUACGAGUAUAAUAUUUAUAAUAAUUUAAUAAUUUUUUUUAAAAAAUAUUUUUCAAUAUUAUUUAUUGGUCCUUGUAUUAUUAUUAUUAUUUUGAAAGAGACUAUGUUCUCUUCAAUCUUUAAUUUUCUUUCUCUACUUUAAAUAUACAAUUAUAUAUUUGCCACCUCCAUACCGAUCAAAUAUUCCUGAAAUAUUGAUUUUAUAUGAUACAUAAAUAUAAUUCGGUAAUUCUAAAAUCAUUUUUGGAACAAAAUUAAUUUUAAACAUUUGAAAAUCAUUUUUCAGAAAUCAAUUUUACUUAAAAUCUUUUUUCUAAAAUUACUACUCCCACUAUUACUCACAAAUACAUCCUAAUGAGAAUAGUUGAAGAUAUAACAAAUUCCAAAUUAGAGAAGAAUGAAGAAAUAGAGAUUAUCUUAUAACUUUUGAACAUAUUUUUCGGGUUCUCAAUCGGGGGAGAAUAUUCCAGAGAUGUAGCUUAUCGCAUAAACAAUAUUAAUGGGGUAUUGAUUUUGUAGAUUGAGUACAAGAAAGGAUGUGGAAUGAACUAAAGCGGCCGACUGCCAGUUAUAAGAGAUUAACCACACGGUAAAAAAUAUUGAAUAUGGGCAACUCGAUAAGUAUUGUGGGCGGGCUGAAACCCUUCGGUUUUCAUCGAAUCUAAGUGGAUUCUUGGAAAAAAGUGAAUCUCUAUAGACAAUAUAUCGAUUAUCCUUGUAUAAACAUGAGGACAGCUUCAGCUUCCAGAUGGAUAUCUUGCUAUUUUACAAGGAGGAAGGAUUUUUCCAUCGCAUUAAUCUAUUACUUUCAUUAUUACAGCUGAAUGUUUCCAAUAACAGCCACGAUAGGGGGACAUGCAUGGUGCAUUGAAUUUAACAUAUCAAAGGCUUUUACAAUAUGUCAAAAAGGGUAGGAUCUGAAUUGGUCCGAGGUAUAGAAACAGCCCAUAAAAUCCGCAAAACCUAUAAUGUUGCUGAAUGUUUCCGUUGUGUUCAGCAGAGCCAAAUUUACUUGAUCUAUUACACUCCGGCUGGUUUCCUUCAGUGAGCAUAUGAAACCCAUAAUACACAGGACCGGUGUGAUGGGAAGAUAUUAGUAUGGAUUUUAUUGUAGGGCCUCCACAGUUAGGUACAAGGGGGAGGGUAUAAUGAAUGAGGAACAAGAUGAAGAAGGAAAGAUGGGGGUUGGUUAAUCCAGUUGUCGAUGAGGAAGUUGGAGGGGCAUGUGCACCAAUUUUCUGGAGAGCAGAAUUGACAUGAAGCUACGUUAACUGGAGGUGUCGACAUUUAAAUCUUAGGAAGAAGUGUUUGUCCAUUGAUCGCUACAACGUGUGGAGCUUUAUGAUGUUGUGAAUGUUUUACGGAUUUUGAUAACUUGGAUAUUGCGGUCCUGUAAUAGUACUUGUUUGCUUCGGACUGUUUUCAAUGGAACUAGGUUUGAAAGUAAAUUGUAUUCUGUACAUAAUUUGGUUAGCUUAAGUGGAACAAAUAAGAACCAUUCGACCUUGGUGAUCUACAUGCAAGCUUCAUCAAAUCACAGCAUACACAUCUCAAUAAGGUAUUAUACAUGGCAAUUCAAACAAUUCACGAACAUACAUAACCAUUUGACUCAAAACGACCUAGAAACUAAGUUUGUGUCUGGGCUGAAGGAACAGACCCUAAAACGUGCAUCCAAAACGCUAGAGUCUAAACUUUCACUGGCCCAACUAAUUCAGAAGAUGAUCGACCGGUUCAAUUGAACAGCAUUCACGGUGCAGGUUCGUAACUCAUAACCUACGAAAUAAAGUGUCAAAUAUUGUGAAAAAAGCACUACAAGAACCCAAAAUGGGUCAAAGGCCACAGAUCGUGUAAGUGCAACACGAACGAUUACGUUCAAACCAAGCCUAAAAUCGUCGUACUCGUCCAAAACGAUUGCUUCAUCGCAGGUAUUAGGCGCUUAGAGUACGUUGUCUAACCAUACCGACCAAUGACUGACAACGAAGUCCGGAUUAAGAAGGUAAAAGGUUUCUGUUUUAGACGUGACGAGAAGUUUAAUCUAGGGCACCGCUGCAAAAGGUGUGAAAUGAACAGCAUUGCUGUACAAGAACCGGAAGACUUAAGUGACAAAACCGAUGUAGUGUAAGUAGCAAUCGAAACUCAAUCUAACCUAAAAUGUCAAUUCAGAAACAGUGAAUCUGUAAGUAAAUUCACUUGAAUGUUUCAAAACGCCGAAACCAUAGCAAUUAAAGGAGCUAUAAGGGGUCGUAAGGUUGUGUAACUCAUCAACCUGGGAGCCACGCACAAUUUUAUUGCAAAAGAGUCAGUGAAAGAGCUAAGUACUUCAAGACCCAACAUGGAUGCAUAUCAAAUGUUGUGUUUAAACUUAGGCGUAGUCAAACCAACCUAAAACUGUAAGGUUCAAAACGUGUCAAUCGCCAAGUUAUCAAUCUCUGACGACUUUCAAAAUCGACCACUAAAAAAUGCUUACGUUAUGUUAGGAGUUACGUAACUCAUAACCUUACGGAAAAAAGUUUUUUAUUACAAAUUGUAGGAGAUGAAAAAAGCACUACGUGAAUGGGGUAACCCAACAAUGGCAACCAAGUGUAGUAAGAUGCAACAAUCACUUAGUUCGAUAACCAAAACCUUUAAGAACGAUGCUCAAAACGUGUCAAUCGAAUUAAGUGUAGUUGUACUGUGGGGAGUUUUCGAAGCAACGGAACACAUAGCAAACUCCUUAAGUGAACUACAGUUAGUAACUCAUAAGUUCUUCAGUCCUAAAAAGUUGUGUUUGAAAAAAGCAAUCAAUUACAAGACCAAAAAGGCUCGAGCAACCAACGUGCGCAACAAACUCAAUCUAACCUUAGAAAGAUGUGAUUCAGAAACGUGUUAAGUAAGUACUGCUAGCUUGAAUUAUUCAGCCAAGCAAACGAGCCUCAGGCAAUGCUUAAGUGUAAGUUUGUAACUCACAACCUACCCAAAAUUUCAAAAAGUGUGAAAAAAGUACUUCAAGACCCAACAUGUCAAUCAAAUGUGUUUAAAACUUACUGUCAAACCAACCUAAAACGAGUUCAAAACGUGUCUAAGUAUCACUUGAACUUUCAAAACGACCUAAAAAAGCUUACGUGUAGGUUCGUAACUCAUAACCUACGAAAAAAGUUCAAAUAGAGUGAAAAAAGCACUACAAGACCCAAAAUGGCAACCAAGUGUGUAAGUGCAACAAACUUAGUUCAAACCAACCUAAAACGUGCUCAAAACGUGUCUAGGUAUUACUUGAGUUUUCAAAACGACCUAGCAAAUCCUAAGUGUAAGUUUGUAACUCAUAAUCUACCAAAAAGGUUGAAAAAAGCAUUUCAAGACCAAAAAUGACAACCAAGUGCAACAAACUCAAUCUAACCUAAAAUGUAUUCAAAACGUGUGUACGUAUCACUUGAAUUUUCAAAACGACCCAGCAAUGCUUAAGUGUAAGUUUGUAACUCACAACCUACCAAAAUUUCAAAAAGUGUGAAAAAAGUACUUCAAGACCCAACAUGUCAAUCAAAUGUGUUUAAAACUUAGUGUCAAACCAACCUAAAACGAGUUCAAAACGUGUCUAAGUAUCACUUGAACUUUCAAAACGACCUAAAAAAGCUUACGUGUAGGUUCGUAACUCAUAACCUACGAAAAAAGUUCAAAUAGAGUGAAAAAAGCACUACAAGACCCAAAAUGGCAACCAAGUGUGUAAGUGCAACAAACUUAGUUCAAACCAACCUAAAACGUGCUCAAAACGUGUCUAGGUAUUACUUAAGUUUUCAAAACGACCUAGCAAAUCCUAAGUGUAAGUUCGUAACUCAUAAUCUACCAAAAAGGUUGAAAAAAGCAUUUCAAGACCAAAAAUGACAACCAAGUGCAACAAACUCAAUCUAACCUAAAAUGUAUUCAAAACGUGUGUAAGUAUCACUUGAAUUUUCAAAACGACCAGCAAUGCUUAAGUGUAAGUUUGUAACUCACAACCUACCAAAAUUUCAAAAAGUACGAAAAAAGUACUUCAAGACCCAACAUGUCAAUCAAACGUGUGUAAAACUUAGUUUCAAACCAACCUAAAACGAGUUCAAAAUGUGUCUAAGUAUCACUUGAACUUUCAAAAGGACCUAACAAAUAUUCAAUACAAGUUCAUAAGUCAUAACCUAGCAAAAAGUUCAAAAUUUUUUAAAAAGACACUCCAAAACCCAAAAUGUCAAUUGUGUAAGUGCAACGAACUUAGUUCUAUACAAACCUAACAAGUAUUCAAAACAUGUAUAAGUUUUCAAACAACCUAACAACGCUUAAGUGUAAGUUUAUAACUCAUAACUUACCAAAAAUUUCAAAAAGUGUGAAAAAAAAUCUUUUAAGACUCAAAAUGGAAACCAUGGCUGUAUGUAAAACUAACUUAGUUUGUAACAACCUAAAAGGUGUUCAAAAAAUGUUUAAGUAUCACUCGAACUUUAAAAACGACACUAAUAAUGCUUUAGUGUUACUUCAUAACUCAUAAUCUACCAAAAAGUUCAAAAAAUGUAGAAAAAGCACUCCAAAAUCCAAAAUGGCAACCAAGUGUGUAAGUGCAACAAACUUAGUCUCAACUUUAAAAUUAGUGCGAGUUGGGAAAUGUAUUAACUCAAGCAUGAUGUACAAACUUGAAACGACUUAAAUAUUUAUUCACCAUCACAUAAAAACAGUAAUUAAAUAUAGAUAACAUGUGUAAAUAAAGGGAGAAUCACCUUUCUAGCAGUAGCUUUAGAGUAAGACCAAACACCAUCCCCCUACUUGUAAAUCUGCUCGAUUGUCUACUUUGUUCUACACUCGUCAUUUCACCGUCUCAGGCCAUCCAUUGAAUUGGCCACCCAGCCUUGGCAUACAAGAGUAUGUCUCAGCCUGUUAACAAAUACCACUAAAACUAAGCAAGACUAAGAAAAAAGUUUUCAAAAAAUUACCUAACUUUUAGGUCUUCAUGUGACCUUUAAGUUCUUCUGUCUUCUCCUUCAACUCUUUGACAGAUUGCUGAAAUUAUGUGUUUCUGCAAUGUUUACCAGAACAUGAAAGAUUCAUUACGAAACUAAUUACCAUGAAUACAAGCCAUGAAGAAAUACAAAGAAGCCUCUUCAUUAAGCUGAAAAUGAGUAGACAAGACAAAAGAUAAUACAAAGAAGCCCUAGGAUCAGCUAGUGCACUUGGACAUCUCAUCUAGGUUGACACCCACUUAGCAUUCUCACCAUAUCGAGACUUUAAACCAAAAGACUAAACGACAAGGUUUAGAAUAGAUCAUACAAACUGCCCAAUAACUAUACAACAUAGAUUUAAGACCACUAGAAAUCCAAAAGAAAUAAAAUAAGAGUACAGUAGUGGACUAAGAAUUAAAAAUGAAAGUCGGCCAAUUAUGACUUAUAUCUUGUAUGGAGAAAUCUUUGAAGUCUUUUGAAAGAGAGCAUCAAGUAGAAGCAUUGAUUCUAGCCAUUUCGACUCGAGUUGUCCAAGAGGAAGCUUUAUUUUGAAAUGUUAGUUGAUUUUGUUCAAACCAAAUUUCUGGUAAAAUGGCCUUUACUGCAUUUAACCAAAUCAAUCUUGGUUUCUUCUUGAGAAUGGGACAUGAAAUAAGCUGGACCACGUUCUCCUAAAUCUAUAGUCGAAAACCCAAUUCAAAUGAAGAUAGCCAAGUAAGCCAAACCAACACUUCUUUGCAUGUAAGCAGGAGAAGAAAAUAUGAUGUAAAUCUUCUAAAGCAUGCAAACACAAGGGACAAACAUGAGGAGAUAAACUGAGAAAGGGAGGUUUCAUUUGCAAAACUUCUGCACAGUUCAUAGUCCAUUUUGCAUUCUCCAAAGUGUGAUAUUCACUCUUCUAGGGCUUUUUGUCUUCCAAAUUGUCGAGUACUUUGUUUUCAAGACUGUGUUAGAACCUGUUUUCUGUAAAUGUUUGGCUGAUUAAUAAAUUAGUAGAACACACUAUUUGGUGUUCUAUCAUUUUGGUAUCGUAGAAAUCGAAUCUGUGAAGUUCUAUAUCAUGGCUCAAAAGCGAAUUGAGGAAAAGUUGGAAAUGGUAGAUCAAGAAAUAUCCGGCAUUCGAGCAGAAUUACAUGAUCUGCCAACAAUCAAGGAAAACAUGUCAUCUUUGGCGAAGAGUAUUGAGAGGUUAGGAGUACAGGCUGAGAAGCAACAACAGCAACCAGAAACACUGUUGAAAUAUAUUGAAGGAAUGAUCAAAGAGAAGACAACGAUGGAAGAAGUACUAGAAGGAUCAUCAAGUAAAGUUGACAGCAUGGUUGAUGUCAGUGAUUGGACGAUGAUGGGAGGAAAAUCUGAGGAAAAACAUACCAAGUUGGAGGGUGAAGAUUCUGCGGGCGACCGAAGCAAAUUUAAAAAAAUUGAAAUGCCAGUUUUUGUGGGAAAUGAUCCUGAUUCUUGGUUGUUGUUUAGGGCUGAGAGAUACUUUCAGAUACACAAACUGAGUGAGUCAGAGAAAAUGACUGUGUCCAUUAUUAGUUUUGAUGGAGCAGCUUUGGAUUGGUAUAAAUCUCAUGAAGAUCGUGAACCGUUUGUUAAUUGGGACGAUUUAAAGAAGAGACUUAUUGUUUGAUUUCGAUCGAGUCGUGAGGGAUCAAUUCUGGGAAGAUUUUUAAAGAUCAAGCAAGAAAUUACAGUGGAAGAAUAUCGGAAUUUAUUUGACAAAUCAGUAGCACCAUUGCCUUUUCUACAAAAGGCUGUCUUAGAAGAAACAUUUAUGAAUGGUUUGAAACCAUGGAUUAAGGCAGGCAUGGAAUGUUGGGAACCUAUGGGGCUUGCUCAAAUGAUGAAGUUGGCCCAAAAGAUUGAGAACCGAGAAGUGAUAAGGGGAGAAUCAAGUUUCAAACGUGCAGCGGAUGGAAAAUUCCAGGUUUCUGCUUCUUUUAAACCUCAAAUUCCUGUGAUUUCUAAUGAUAAUAAGUCAGAAGGGAUUGUUCCAAUGCGGAUGAUUACACUUCGAGGAGUGGCUGGUGAACCUAAUCGACGAGAAGGACCACUAAAACGACUUCCUGAUGCUGAAUUUCAGGCUAGACGUGAGAAAGGUCUCUGUUUUCGUUGUGAGGAAUGAUUUUUUGUGGGCCAUAAGUGUAAAGUGAAAGAUCAUAAGGAACUUAGAGUUUUAGUUGUUGGGGCAAAUGGGGAAGAACUAGAAGUAGUUGAAGAAGAGGAUUCAGGAAACUUCUGAUUAUGGGGUUAUUUUGGGGUCUGAAUCAGCUGUAAAAGGGAAGGGAAUUUGUAAACAAGUGGAACUGCUAUUGGGUGAAUGGAAGGUUGUGGAUAAUUUUCUGCCAUUGGAAUUGGGGGGGAGUGGAUGUCAUUCUUGGUAUGCAAUGGCUACAUACAUUAGGAGUAACCGAAGUAGAUUGGUGAAAAAUUACUUUGACAUUCAUACAAAAUGGGAAGAAGGUUGUAUUAAGGGGAGAUCCGAGUCAUACGAAGGCUAGGGUGAGUUUGAAGCACAUGAUGAAGACAUGGACAGAACUUGAUCAGGGAUUUCUGAUUGAGUGUGGAUCUUUGGAAGGUGGAAUGGCAUUUGCAGCGAUGUAUGGGGUUGAUGAAGUGCCUACCACUCAUGAGUCUAUUCCAGCCGUGUUAGCUAAGAAUGAAGAUGUUUUUGAUUGGCCUGGAGAGUUGCCACCACAAUGUACCAUUGAACAUCAUAUACAUCUUAAGAAGGGGACUAAUCCAGUCAAUGUUCGGCCUUAUAGAUAUGCAUACCAGCAAAAGGAGGAGAUGGAAAGAUUGGUUGAUGAAAUGAUGGCAUUUGGCAUAAAAACCUAGUACUAGUCCAUAUUCGAGCCCGGUCUUGUUGGUGAAAAAAAAAUGGUAGUUGACGGUUUUGUGUAGAUUACCGUGCGUUGAAUAGUGUGACCGUUCCAGACAAGUUUCCUAUUCCAGUAGUAGAGGAAUUGUUUGAUGAACUUAAUGGGGCUAAUAUAUUUUCGAAGAUUGAUCUCAAGGCGGGAUAUCAUCAAAUUAGAAUGUGUAAAAAGGAUGUGAAGAAAACAGCUUUUAGAACUCACGAGGGGCAUUAUGAGUUUCUUGUCAUGCCUUUUGGGCUCACCAAUGCACCAUCAACGUUUCAAGCUUUGAUGAAUAGUAUCUUUAAACCUUACCUACGCAGGUUUUCUUAGUCUUUUUUGAUGAUAUAUUAAUUUACAGCAGAAGUUUGGAUGAAAAUCUUCAACAUUUAGAAUGGGUGUUAGAGGUGCUGCGAGAGAAUAAAUUAUAUGCUAAUAUGCAGCACAAGUGUGGGUUUGCCAAAAUGAAAGUGGAGUAUCUUGGCCAUAUAAUUUCGGGCAAGGGUGUAGAGGUUGAUCCCGAGAAAAUUAGAUCUAUCAAAGAAUGGCCCGUGCCCACUAAUGUCCGUGAAGUUCGUGGAUUUCUUGGGUUGACAGGAUAUUAUCGAAGAUUUGUAAUGAAUUAUGGAAGUGUGGCUGCUCCUUUGACUCAACUAUUGAAGAAAGGAGCAUAUGAAUGGACUGUUGCAGCUGCUGAAGCUUUUGAGAAUUUAAAGAUGGCUACGAUGACUCUCCCAAUCUUAGCACUGCCAGAUUUUUCCUUACCAUUUGAAAUAGAGACCGAUGCUUCUGGAUACGGGGUAGGUGCUGUCUUAAUUCAAAAUCAUCGGCCAAUUGCUUAUUUUAGCCAGACAUUAGCUAUGAGGGAUCGUGCUAAACCAGUUUAUGAACGGGAAUUAAUGGCUGUAGUUUUGGCUGUGCAACGCUGUAGACCUUAUCUUUUGGCAGGAGGUUUGUAGUGAAAACUGAUCAACGAUCAUUGAAACUUUUAUUGGAACAAAGGGUUAUCCAACCUCAACAUCAGAGGUGGAUUGCUAAGCUUCUUGGCUACAAUUUUGAUGUCGUGUAUAAACCGGGACUAGAAAACAAAGCAGCAGAUGCCUUGUCUCGUGUCCCUCCUACUGCCCAACUUAAUCAACUUACUGUUGAGAUCAGUUAAAUUGGCAGUCCCCAACACUGAAGUUGACCCUAAAUUAGUCCCAGAAAUUAAUGGGAUGGAUCUGAAUGUCUUGUUCAAUGAUGAAGAUAUUCUCCCUAUUAAAAUUCCCCUGGAUUUGCCUAAAGAUUUAGUGUCUAUAGUCGGCGAUUGUGGAAUCAUUCUGGCUUAAAUUAGAUGUGCAACUGCCUUUUCCUCCUCCCAGUCAUUAUUAAGGUUGUCUCCUGGAACACUAAGGGUUUGAACGACUCCUCUAAACGUGCAGCACUUAAAAAAUUCAUCAACAAUUGUAGUCAUGAUUCAAGAAUCUAAGAAGGAUACCUUGAACUCGGCUUUUAUAAAAUCAUUGUGGAGUUCUAAGGAUAUUGGCUGGGAUUAUGUGGCUUCUGUUGGAUCUUCUGGGGGAAUUCUUACCAUGUGGGACAGCAGUAAAAUAUCUGUAACAGAGGUCAUUAAAAGACGCUUCUCUUUGUCAAUCAAAUGCCUCACUUUGUGCAAAAAGGUUUGUUGGAUCACAAAUGUCUAUGGCCCUUGUGGUUGCAAAGAAAGGAAAUUGGUUUGGCCCGAAUUGUCUUCCUUAGCUGAUUGUUCGGCCGUGGCCUGGUGCAUAGGUGGGAAUUUUAAUAUCACUCGUUGGGCCCAGGAAAGAUUUUCUUUUGGCAGAAGUACUAGAGGAAUGUCAUUAUUCAAUAAGUUUAUUGACAUGGUUUCUCUCAUGGAAAUUCCAUUGCAAAAUGGAAGGUUCACUUGGUCUAGAGACGGUAGUUCUCCUUGAAGAUCAUUAUUAGACACAUUCUUCAUAAAUCAGAUGUGGGAUGUUUGUUUUGAAAAUUCUCGGGUUUCUCGAAAAGCACGCAUCUUCUCGGAUCACUUUCCUUUAUUCUUGGAGGCUGGUUCUUUUCUUUGGGGUCCCUCUCCUUUUCGGUUUUGUAACAGCUGGUUGGUGUCCAGUGAUUCUAAUCAGAUUAUUGUUGAAACAGUGAGCAACUCUAACUUCCAGGGAUGGGCUGGUUUCAUUCUUCAUGAGCAGUUGAGAUCAGUUAAAUUGGCAGUAAAAGCUUGGAAUAUUGCUGCGCAAGCUAAGGUAAAAAAAAAAACAGAGAAAUCCUUGAUGUCAAAAUUAGAAAAAUAUGAUUUUGUGGCUGAGUUGAUUGGAUUAAAUCAAGAAGAGUUGAAUUCUAGAGCUGCUUUGCAAGCGGAAUUACUUAGUAUUUAUCAAAAUGAAGAGCGUAAUUUUAUUCAGAAGAGUAAAACUCAAUUGGCUUUCUUUGGGUGAUGAGAAUACGGGCUUCUUCCACCGCUUUCUAAAUGCGAAUAAAAGAAGGAACCUCAUAACUGAAUUAAAAGAUGAUGAUGGGGUUGUCUCGACUUCAUUCCGCGACAUUGAAAGGCUUGUGCUGGAAUUUUUUGAGUCACUUUAUACCAGAAUUCCGGGGGACAGAUUCAUCCCUAUUAACAGUAAUUGGUCUUGUGUUUCCUCAAUUCAGAAUGAGGCUCUUGUUACCCAGUUUUCAGUGGAGGAGAUCUUUAAGGCAUUAAAGGCACUUGGCAACAAUAAAGCUCCGGGCCCGGAUGGCUUCACAGUGAAGUUCCUAAUCACCCAAUGGUCUAUUUUCAAGGAUAUCUUCAAAUCACUAAUGUCUGAUUUCCACAGAAAUGGAAGAUUAAAUGCUUGCAUCCAAGAAAACUUCAUUUGUUUAGUGCAGAAAAAAGAGAAUGUGACUCUAGUCAAGGAUUUCCGUCCAAUCAGCCUUACUACGUUAGCAUACAAGGUCGUCGCAAAGGUUUUAUCUGAACGUCUAAAACAAGUUAUGGAUGCAAUUAUAAGCCCCACUCAAAGCGCCUUUAUUGAAGGUAGGCAAAUUCUUGACCCAAUAUUAAUUGCUGGAGAGGCCGUGGAAGAUUAUAGGGCAAAACGGAAAAAAGGAUGGAUUUUAAAACUUGACUUGGAAAAAGCCUUUGAUAGGGUGAAUUGGAACUUUUUAGAAAAAAAUUUAUCUUUGAAAAAGUUUAGUUCCAAAUGGAUAUCAUGGAUAAUGGGCUGCCUAAAAAAUCCAAAGUAUUCAGUCUUCAUCAAUGGUAAGCCUAGAGGCCGGAUAACAGCAUCUAGAGGUAUCCGCCAAGGGGACCCCCUCUCCCCCUUUUUAUUCCUCCUAGUAAGUGAGGUUUUAGGAGAAAUCAUAAACAAGCUUCAUAUUAACAGCCAGUUUGAAGGUUUCCUUGUUGGCAAAGACUUGAUCCACCUCCCUUUGCUUCAAUUUGUCGAUGAUACUCUUCUCUUUUGUAUGUAUGAUGUGAAGAUGCUCCUUAAACUUUAAAACGUCAUUAGAUUAUUCGAAUGGUGUUCGGGGCAGAAAGUAAACUGGGAAAAAUCAGCCCUUAGCGGCGUUAAUGUGGGAGAGGAAGAAAUAAGGGGACGUGAGGUUGUGGUGCUGAUCGAUGGGGGAGCCACGCACAAUUUUAUUGCAGAAGAGGUAGUCAAAGAGCUAAAAAUUUCAGUAGAAACCAUGGAUGCAUAUGGGGUUGUUAUGGGAACCGGAGGCGUAGUCCAAGCAACCAGUGUGUGUAAGGAUGUAAACCUGACAAUCGCCAAUUUAUCAAUCACUCACGAUUUUCUCCCUCUACCACUCGGGAGUGCCGACGUUAUAUUAGGAGUUACUU